rnacentral:lncRNA from 1 species
UGACAUGCAAAAAGGUACCAGAAAUAUAAAAAGGUAAAAUUAAGAACAUAUUCCAUCACUUAAAGCACUUGGCAUCCAAGAGAGGCUCUCCCUCAAAUGGCUCGCAGUCUUCAAUCAUCUGAUUCACCCGUUCCUUCUGGGCUGCAUCUGAGAGGUCGACCUUCUUCCACUCGUAGAGUUCCAUGUCAUAGCACUCGUCAAUCACAAAUUGAGGAAUCUCUUGCCCACGGAAAAGCCAUAGUCCUUUCACCUUGAAUGGAGGGUUAGCACCGAUCACCAACAUCUUCCCAAAUGCAUACUUGCGGGCCAAAUCCAUUCUCUGCAGGAAUCCUCCAACCUUGUUCAUUGUGACAAAUGAAACUGUAUUCUCCUCAUUGUACUUGUAGUCACAAAACCACAGUGAGUAUCCCUCGGGAUCAUACAUGUCCCAGAAUCCUGACACGAAUCAAGUAUCAGAUAUCACAAGUCCAAACAUUGCUUUUAAAAGGGAGUGCUACUGUGAAAACAACAGGGAUACCUUUAAUCGCAACCUCUCGGAAAUUGGUCUUUGUGUUAGAGUAAAGCCUUUUCCAGUCAUCCAGUACCAUCUUACUUGGAGGCAGCAAAUCAAGAGGAUUCUUUGGUUUGGGCUUUGGUGCCUCCUCCUCCACAGCGGCCUCUGCCUUUGCUGCCUGUUUCUCAACCUCCUUUUUGGCUUCUUUCUUUGGUUCAGCCUUUGGUUUAGUUUCUUUUGGCUGGGCAGCAGGCUUCUUUGAAGGAACAGGUGGUAGAGAGACUGCCUGCUUCACUUCACCAAGAAUCCUCUUGAUUUUUGGCUGAUUAACCAAGGUCCAAAAGUACCUCUCAACAUGAGGGAAUUCAGAGGUAAAACUCUUGGUCAUGAUCUGGAAGAAACCCAAGUAGAGAUUACAUGUCAUGAUAAUGUCAGCAAGGGUGACAGCAUGUCCAACAAGAAAUGUGUUGGAAGCAAGAUGAGUGUUCAAAGCGCCAAGGGCUCUCUUCAAUGCAGUAAUAGCAGCUUCCUCAGCCUACAUGCAAAAUACAAAUAAGAGAUUAAAAUGAAAUAGAUGGGCAAAAUCAUACCAUUAAAGUAAAAUGAGCUACUACUGAAUUACAAAAAUAAAAUUUCUCUUUAUAUAGAUUAAUAAAUACAUCAGAAUGGGGGAGAAAACAACCUAAUCUCUUAAAAAAAUAAUGAGGAGAAAACCCAUGCCUACUUGAUUAUCAAUUCAAUGGGCAUUCCCUUCUACCAAAAUUACUUAAUAGUGCUUGAGUUGAUUCCUUUCCAGAAACUAUGCAUGGGAAAACACCACCACAUUAAGCAUGUACUAAAUGUUGUGUAACUAAUCCUCUCUAAAAUAAAUAAAACAAGAAUCAUAGACAGGUAAUCAAUGCCAAUUUUCCCUUCACCAUGCCCACCUUAAUAUUAUGUAUUUUGAUGACUAAGCUGCCUUAUUCCAAUUUUAACAUGGGACCUAUUGUCUUAUAAUUAGAAAGAAACAAAGACUAAGUAUGGCCCCAGCAAAUCAAGCUUAAUUAAAAUGAUAAAAGAAUCUGCGAGGAAAGAUAGUAGAACUUACUGGAGGAAGGUAAACACCGUAACCAAGUCUUGGAUACAACCAUUUGGCAAUAUUAGCAUCAAUUUCCAUGGCUGCAAAAUCAAUCCAUUGCUCGAUAUGACCCUAAGAAAGCCAAAGUAAUACAUACAAACAAUUACUUCCAUGGUUUAAAAUAAACUUAACUGAUGACAGAAGAAAACAAGACCAUUGUACUAUAAGAAUCUUACAUAAUCAAUCAAUGUAGAACCACAUAUAGGGUUGUUAACCUUUGAGCGAGCAACUGCAGAGAAAAGUAUACCAAUAAGUAAACAAACAUUAGAGGAAGAAAAUUUAGGAUAUGGAGUCAGCAGAUCUUCUCACCAUAACGAGCAAUGGCAUUGCUCUCAAAUACCGGACCCUCAGGUGUUUCCAACACAGGAACCUAGAAGAGUUAUAAAUAUCUUCAGUGAACUGACCUAGAAAAAAGGUUACGUAACAUGCAUAAAAAAAAUUCUCCAGUUUAAAUAUAUUAAUAGGCGUUACAAGGUCACCUUCCCCAAAGGGUUCAUCUUGAUGAACUCAGGAGUCUUAUUUGACACACCCAUCUCAAAAUUCUCAACCAUUUUGACCUGCACACCACUAUAUUCUGCAGCAAUGAGUGCCUUAAAGGCAUUUUUGUUUGUUUUUCCUGCAUGCAAGAUCUGCAUGUAAAUCAACACACCACAUUGAUUAGAUGAACCGGUUGAUUAAGAAGUUGAAUACAAUGUCAAACACCAGUCACUCCCUACAACUAAUCCAGGAAAAUCCUGAAAUUAAUCCUUUUCGCCCUAUAAAUUCUCUUAAAGACCAUUCCCUUUACAUUCUAAACUACUAAACGGUACUUAGCAUUUCCAUCUACCAUACACAAUUAACCUAAUUGACGUAACAUCUCGCCAUCAAUCUUUCUUCUGGUCAAUGGUUCCCAAUUGAAAUCUAAGGUGGUAGAGUUAAAAUCAAAAUCAAUUUUUUUUUAUCGUUAUGAUUAGUAUCUACAAAUCCAUAAACUAUUCCAUUGAUAGUAACUAUAUAAAACAUAUUCAAUCUGCCACUUCCUUCGCAAUGUAAAAAAGCUAGUUACAAAUUUCACUUUCUAAUUCUACUCGAAAUAACUUCCACCUAGUCAUUAGGUGUCAAUUCUGUCAACAGUUAAACUACCACAAGAAACGAAACUAAUAUAGAUACACAGAUAUAAAGCUUACCAGAGCCAUGGCUUGAUAGAAAAGAGCGCUACGAUUUGAGAACUGAGAUCUGGAAAUUGAAAAACAGAGAAUAAAAAUAAACGGAAUAAGGAAAAAUAUUCAAGCAGGAGAACUUGAUUGCCAUGUAUUAAGGAGAAAAAAUGAGAGAAGGGAUUAAGAAAGAACCUUAGACGAAAUCGCAGCGAGAAGGAGCGGGAGAGACUGCGGGACAAAGAGAGAAUAAAAGAAGGGGGGACUAGGGUUUUUGUAGAGUAGAGCGAAUGUGAUGUGGGGUUAUCAGUUCGGGUUCCGGUUUAGAUCCAGAUUUACUAACCCCUUUCUUUUUCCGGUUCUUUUAAGCGUGUCUUUCAAGUAAUAAGUGGGUGAGUUAGAAGUAGAGGUGAUCAUGGGCCGUGCCGGGCCGGGUCGGGUUCGGGCUGAACUCAUACAAAUUUUUAGGCCUGUUUAUUAGGCCCGGGUUCGGCUCGAAAUAUGGGCCUAAAAUUUUGUCCAAGCCCGACUCGAAAUAAAAUUACUAAGCCCGGCCCGGCCCGGCCCGGCCCAUAUUAAAAAAUUUUUUAUUUCAUUAAAUAAAAAAAUUUAAAAAUAUAAUAAAUCAAAUAUAUUUAAAAACAUAAAAACAAAUAUUAAAACAAAUAAAAAUAAUACUAAAACAAUUCUUAAAACAAUACACAAAUUAAUAAUAUAAUAAAAAAUAGUUAUAUUAAAAAUUUAAAAUAAUUAAAAAUAAAAUAAAUAUAUAUAUAUAUAAUUUGGGCAGGGCCGGGCCGGGCCGGGCCCGGGCCAAAAAACUCUUACCCGAGGCCCGGCCCGUUUUCUAAACGGGCCUCAUUUUUUUGCCCAAGCCCAUUUUUCGGGCCUAUAUUUUUACUCAAACCCUCCCAUUUUUUGAGCGGGCCUUCGGGCCGGGCCGCCCAGCCCAUGAUCAGCUCUAGUUAGAACUAGUUUAAUGGGAUUACCAUUUAAAGAAUAAUUAAAUAAAAAUUAUAAAUUAUAAAUUAUAUAAAAAAAUUCUCAUAACCAUUGAACCGUUGUUUUUCUCCAAUUUUCUUUUUCACAACAGUUUUGCUUUUUAUGUAAUUACACGCAACUAAUUUAUCUGGAUAGAUUAAAUCACGAAUUUUUAGUUUAAUUCUUUAGUUCACUCUGAACAACACUACUUAUCUCAAAUUUUUUAUUUUGUGUCUAGUUAUUAUUAUUAUUAUUAUUAUUAUUAUUAUUAUUAUUAACUUGGAGUAUAAUGAUUUAAAUUUUUGCUCAUGCAUGUUGAGGUUCUUUAUUUAGAUAAAAGUUAAUUCAAGUUGGGUUCAAACAUUGUUAUAUGUGAUAUUUUAUUUAAAAAAAAUUAAACUAUCCUCGAAUAAUUUAAUUUAUUUUAAAUAUGAAAAAUAUGUUAAAUUUGUAAAAUAAAUCUGAAAUAAAACUUAAUAAAUUAGGAUCUAUUAUGUCAAAUCAUCAAGAAUAAAUCAAAAACAAAACUAGAUGCAGAAGCGUACCUGAAUCCAUGAAUUCCUUGAAGUUUUACCUGAUCUUGGGGAUUUGAUCUUCUAAAUUGGAACACAAGAAAUUCAGAGAAUAUUUGCUCUUUCUUUCCUAAUGAUGAGAUAUUAGAAAAGAUAUCUUGUAUAUAAUUUGGGGACCAUAACCCUAAACUUCACAUAUUUGACCCAUACUUUAUUUAAUAAUUAAAACCCAGUAAAAUUUUAACCAAAUUAGAUCACUUUUAAUUUUGGCUAAUCUAUCAUGAUAAUAAAUAAUAACAUAUAAUUACCCUUAUUAUAUAUGUGAUGUCCAUAUUUUCCAACAAUCUCCCACUUGGACCACAUAUAUGUACUAAUUACUCUAUAAUUACAUGUCAUUAUAUAACCUUAUGAGCUCAAAAUUUUACUAUCAUAUCCAAAAGGUAUUCCAAAUAAUCUCGUCCAUUAAUUAUGUUAACAUAGAACCAAGGCGACUUUCGUUACGUAUAUCGUAACUAAAUCCAUCCAUGAUUACGUAUAUUAACACAACCAAAUGACAUAGAUCAAGUAUGGAUGUGUAGCAUGGAACAUGCAAUAUGAUCUAAACAUGUCUAUUUCCAAUUAGUCCUCCUUAGUGAGACCAAACCUUACCAAAAUCAGAGUGUGAAUAAACCAAAUAAACUUCAUUUCUGCAGAAAAUAAACUUAAUAUCUUUAAACUGAAAUAACUGAAAAUGUGUCUAUGACAUAAAAGCAUUUAAAAAUACUAUCUCCCACUAAAAUCAAAUAUCUUUUAAAUGACAUUACACUUAUAUGAGCAGUGUGCUCUUAUAAGACCUUAGGUGUAGUUCCUUAAUAAGCGGAUCUACAAUCAUGGAGUUUGUCCUAAUAUGCUUUAUAAGCACCUAACCACUCUGGACUUUUACUUUAACAACCAUGAACUUAAAGUCUAUGUGUUUUUACUUUGAUGUGCUCCUAUUGAUAUUGGAAUAAAAGACUGCAAAUUGUUUUCACAAUUUGCACCUUAAUGAAAAAAUCUUGUAUCCAUAUUCCAUCAAAAUCGAAGCCUAUAUACUUGAUGAUCUCUAACUGAUUAGACCUCCGAUAUGUGAACAUGUAAUCUUUUGUUCUCUGAAAAUACCUUAUAACCCUCUUGGAUGCGAUCUAAUGGUCCAAACCAGGGUUGCUUAAAAUAUCUGCCUAACAUCCCAAUAGUGUACACAAUAUUCCAAUGUAUACAAACUUGAACAUAUAUUAGACUUUCUACUACUAAAAUGUAAAAAAAUCUAAUGCAUUUUUGUAAUCUCAAAAUCAUUCUUAGGGCAUUGAUUGAAACUAUACUUAUUAUUGAUAAGCAGUAUGUCAUUAACAUAUAAAACCAAAUAUAGAACCUUACUCCCACUAAACUUAUGGUAUAUACGAUUAUCAAUAAAAUUCAUCUCUAAACCGAAUAAAAUAAUCAUUUGGUAAAAUUUGUAAUAUUAUUGACGAGAAGUUUGGUUAAGCCCAUAGAUGAAGUUCUUUGCAAAUCAUUAACUUUGCAUCAUUAGACACAAAGCUUUCUAAUUGCGCCACAUAAAUGUAUGAUCAAUGUUACCAUUGAGAAACCAUUAACUUAAUAUUCAUCUGAUGUAGCUUAAUGUCAAAAUAUUCCACUAAAGCCAUUAUAACCCUUUCUCUAGUGGACCUUUUUAAUGACAUUCAUUCUUGAGGUUGUUAAGUUUGUUUUUUGGAACAAUUACCUCAUCUUGAAUAGGGAGUUGUUUAACAUUGUCUUAUUGAGGUUCUAGAUUCACUUCUUAAUCAAUGAUAGGUAUGAGAAUCUAAACAUCAUCAAAAGUGAUAGUAAGAAUUGAGUUAAAAUUCAAUUCCUCCUUAAAAACAAUGUAUCUAACCUUAUUUCUCCUUCCAAACUCAACAUCCUAAAAGAAUGUUGCAAUUCUCAUCUCAAAAAAAUAUUCCUAAUUGUGGGAUUAUAAAAUUCAUAGCCCUUAGAUCGCUCAGUAUUUCCUUGACCUUAUACUUUAUAGACAUCAAAGAAGUUAGAAAUGAUGUCAUUUCAACCUUAUCAUUUUUAGCAAAACGUUUCUCAAUUUCGUCAAUGAAACCUUAGCCUGAGUAAUCUUUUCAGAUUCUAUGCCCUUAAAGGCUUCUAAAAUGUUGUGCCUCAUGAUCAUUAAACUCAUGCAAUUUGAAUGAUUCUACCUCUCAAAAUCCCUUUGUAACACUCUGAAAAUUUCUACAGUAAGAUAUUAUCCUUAAUAUAGUAAAAUAAGGAAAUAAAGUGACAAGAAGAGGAAAAUUGAGUUAUGUCACUGGGAAAUAUAUUAUGACAUAUCGAUUCAAGAAAGGACUAAAUUAUAAAAGUGAGAAAAUUUUUGUGGCUCAAGAGUAAAUACUCCAAAUUUGAGGGAUUAAAGUGUAAAUAUAAAAAAGUUGAAGGACUAAUAUUGCAAAUAUUUUAAGGGUGGAAUGAUCUAGAAACCAAGGAAAAUUGAUGAAUUAGGACCAAAUUGAAUAGGUGAAGAACUAUGAGGGACUAAAUUAUAAUUUUACCAAAUUAAGUGAUGACUCAAGAAUGGAAUUUUAAAAGAUCACAAAGGGCAAAAUGGUCAAUUGGAAGAGAGAGAAAUCUAGAAAGUAAUGUUAUGUUGGUGAUAUUUUAUAAUUAUAUAAUUAGAUAAUUAUUAUUUAUUUAAUAUUUUAAUAAGAUAUUUUAUUAUUUUAUUAUUUUAUUUAGUCUAUAUAUAUAUGUGUGUGUGGAAAAAAAACACACACUUACACACCAUCCAUCAUCUUUCCCAUGCACUAAUGUGAGAGGAAGAGAGAAUGAAAGAAAGUUUUACUUUCUUUAUAAUUUGGUCCUUCUACCAAAAAUUCACCAUUUUCACCCAAAAAUCAAAAGAAUUUCCAUAGCUACCAAGAGAGAAAAAUGUUAAGAAAACUAUGAGAAGUUAGAAUAUCAAGUUGGAUUCAAGAAAAAGAAGUUGAAGGAGAGAGAAAAUCAAGUUAAAGAUUGAAAUCAAUGGAACAAGGUAAGAACAUCAAGAUUUCAAUACAUUUUUAAGAUUAAUAUUAUUGAAAAAGCAUGGAAUUGAUGUUAAUGUAGAGUUUUCUUAUAUAUGGUCUUAUGUUCUUGAUAUGUUAGUGAAGAAAAAAAUAAGAGAAAGUAAUGAGAAAUAGUGUAGAGAAAGAAAAUAAAGGUGUUAUAAACAUGGUAAAUAAACAUCUUGCACUAAAACAGUUUUGGACAGCAGCAGUAGGCUAAAUUUAAAAAAUCACCAUAAAUUGUGGAAAUAGUAUUAGAGGAUUAAAAAAAUAUUGAAUUAAAUCUUAUUGAGUCUAGUUUCUUAUAGAAAAAACGGUACAAGAAAUGGAAUCGUAAAUUGUGAGAUAUAGUAAAUUUAGUGAGACAAUGUCAGAAUGAUUUCGAGUUCCCUUGUUCUGACUUUGGAAAAUCAUAAAAAAUUGGAGAAAAAUAAUUAGGUUCUUAAAGUUAUAUUUUUAAAAUUCUGAAUGAGUAAUAGAAACAAACGAGAACAUCAUCUGAAUCCUGUACAAUGAGAUAAUUAAUUUUUUAGUAAAGAAGGGUCGGAACUGUCAGACAACAGAAUAAGGGUGACUUUAAAGAAUAAAAUGUACUUAUUGGCUAAACCAAAAAUUCUUAAAAUUUUAUGGUAAGAAUAUACGUAAGUCUAGUUUCAUAGAAAAUUAGCGGAUCUUAAUUUCGAGUUUUGCAGCUCUAGAUAUAAAUAAUUAGUGACUGUGACGCAAAUGGACAAUUUUGAAUAUACAUAUAAGUAAAUAGUGAAAUUAUUGAUAAUGUUACUUGUAGCAUGUUAUAUAAAUAUAGGAUGUGGAAUGGAGAGGAUGAGGAGGAAAAUAUGCAUGAAUAUUCAGCUAGCAUGGCUAAUUUGCACGUUUUAGGCUCAGGGACUAAAUUGAAUAAAAGUAAAACUUUAUGGGCAAUUUUGUAAAAAUGUUAGAAAUGACCAAUUUGCAUGAAAUGGAUUAUUUAAUUAUUUAAAAUUGCAAACUUGAAUGAAAUUAUUAACUUAGUUCAAGAUCGGGGAAAAACAUGUUUUAAGGAUUAAAUUGAAAAGUGUUGAAAUUAUGGAAAAUUAUGAUAUUUUAUAGAAUUCAUGGGUUGUUAUCAAUUUGUAUGAGAAUAACGGCUAGAAAUAAGGAUUAAAUUGCAAGAAUUUUAUUUUUUUGAGCCUAAAGAUGAAAUCAUCAUUAAUUAAAAAGUUUAGGGGCAAAAUGGUAAUUUUGUUUAGAGCAUUGAAUGUAUUAGAACAUGAAAUAAAUGAAAACGACGAUCAAAUUUAUUUAUAAAGAUUCGGAUGACUCGAAUACGAGACUUGAACGUGGAAAAGAAAAAAUAUCAGAUUAAUGAAAUUAUAAACAUGAACAAGCAGCGAGGUAAGUUAGUGUAACUUGAAUUGUAUUUUUAAAUGCAUGAAAUAUCGAUAUAAAGAAUUAUCCGAUUUAUUUUUAUGAAGAAAUGGCAAGAGAAUGAUAUUUAUCAUGGCAUGUAAAUAUGUGAUUAUCUUUGAAAUUCAGUAUAUUGAGACGAGUAAUAAAUUCAAGUAAAACAUGUCGAGAAAAAUAAGUACGUUUAAGGGACAAUAUGUUUGAUUUUAAUUGGUUCCAAAUAUGAACGUUAGAUGAAAUAAAAUAUCUGAUAAAUAAAUCGAUACCUCCGGUAAUGCUCCGUAACUCUAUUUCGGUGAUGGAUUCGGGUUAAGGGCGUUACACCCUUUUAACAUAGGGGGUGCUUUCCGCAGUGAGAGGUGCGAGUAGUUCUUCCUUUAGUGCAAGGUUUAUGUUCAUACAGCCAAGCACUAUAAGUAAGUGCCUUUUCCAUUCAUUGAAAUUAGUCCCAUUAAGCAUGGGUAUAGAAUUUAUAUUAGCGGAUAUUGUGGCAGUAAUAUGAAUUAACUGAAUAUAGAACAAAAAAUAAGUAAAAAUAAGCUCACAGCAAUAUUCAUAAGUAAACAAUAAAUUCAGGAUAAUGGUUAAUCCUAUCUCAAGAUACCAAACACAACAUUAAUAUCAAUUUUUUGGACGAUAAUAUUAACAGUAAGCGGUACUUUUGUUGUAGCAAUCAAACAUUGACAAUAAAUCAUGUCAAACAAUGAAUUAAUCUUUAGACUGACAUAUUGCUCACAUAAAGUACCUUAUAAUUGUCACACAUUUAUCGCCACAGAUGUCGUUGAAAUUCUGCCAAAUAUUAACUUACCUUUGGGUCAAUUAAUAAACGCAUGAAUUACAAAAAUAUAUAAUCAUCUUGCUAUUUUAAAUAAACUAAUCUACACAAAAGAGGUCACUUUGGCGGUAUUUUGUUUCAACUAAUUUAUUUAAAAAUACUAGACAUCCUUAAUUAAAACCUAAAGCCAAAAUCUGAAUUUAUUUGUUUCAAAAUAUUUCUUUUAAUUUCAUCUUUCAAUCAAAUUAAAAGAUAAUAGUAUAUAUAUGUAUAUAUAUAUUUACCCCAAAACAACAUACAAUGAUGUUGGCAAAUAUAAUAAUAGUUGAAUAAAUCUUAAACCAUAAACAACCUCACAUAAGACUUCAAAUUUAAACUAAAAUAAUUUGAAUAAAGAUAAACCUCAACUUAAGAUAUCGGACACUCCAUUAAUAUUUCAUCUUUGAAAAAAAUAUUAACUUGUAAGUGAUAUCUUGGUGUAGUAAUCAAACAUUGACAAUAAGAACAUGUCGAACAAUAAAUCUUCCUAUGAGCCAAUUUAUUACUCACAUGUAAAACCGAAUAAUCGUCACAUGUUUAUCACCAUAGUUGCACAUGUAAUAUUAUUAACCUUCAUUUGGGCCGAUCAAUAUCAACAUAACUUAAGUUACAUGCACACAAACUUUUAUAUUUUAAAACAAAAUAAUUUAUACAAAGAAAUCACUUUGGUGACUUUUUGCUUCAAUUAAGUUAUUUUAAAAUAUAUAUAAACAUACCAAUAUUCAAAUUUAAAUUUCCCCAAUAGUCAAAUGUUAAAACUAUUUUUUUAUUGCUUUAUAGACUCUAUGUAACACCCCCACGCCCGAAACUGUCACCGGAGUCAAGCUUGAGGUGUUACUAAACUUAUCUUACCUUUUAAACAACUCUAAACCACUUAUUUUAAUUUUUGGAAUAAACUAUUUUUCUGCGUCAUGGUUGCUUAAAAAUUCAUUUCUCGAGUUUCAAAACUCAAAAUUAAGAUCCGUAAAUUUUUCCUGAAACUAGACUCAUAUAUCUAUCUACUAAUUUUUUUCUAGAAUUUUUGACUCGGCCAAUUAGUACAGUUUAUUAGUUAAAGUUUCCCCUGUUUCAAAACUCAACUACACUGACCUCUUCUUACUACAAGCCAUGUUUCUUCCUGUAAAAAAAUUCAUAUGACUAAGCCGUUUGUUUCUCUCAAAACUAGAUUCAACAAGGAUUCUAACCAUAUAAAUUACACCUUCUAAUUAGUUUUGUACAAUUUAUGGUGAAUUUCCAAAUUUGAAACAGGGGAUCCAGAAAUCGCUCUGACCCUGUUUCACUAAAACUUAGAUAUCUCAUAAAAUAUAAUACCUUUACCUGUUUUUCUUAUUCCAUAAGAAAAUAUAUAUAAUAAGCUUUAAUUUCAUAUAUUAUUCAUCUUCAAACUAUGUUUCUGAAAUUUUUAGUGAUUUUUGAAAGUUACGUCAUUUCUGUUACUUGAAUCUGUUUUUAGGUUACUUUCACAUUUUUCAUAAUUUUCAUGUGAUAAUCAUCAAUCAAUCAUACAUAUUAAUAAAUAUGUAUAUCAUCGGCUAUUUUAUUAGCUAAUCACUAGCAAGUAUUUACACAUCAUUCAUUGUUCAUAUUAUACCAAAAGUAGCUAAGUUUCUAUACAUGCCAUACCCAAAACAAAACGUCUAGUUAUACCGAGUUAUUUCUUUGAUAGUGUGAUCGGCCUCCGACGUUUCCUUCGAUCCCCGAGUGACUAGAUAAGUACUAUAAGAAGAAGAAAAUAAAGAGAUUAAGCACUAGGCUUAGUAAGCUUACAAGCAAAUAAAUCACAACAUUCAACAUAAUGGAUAAUUAUGCAUAAUAUCAUCUAACAUCAUAAAUUUCUUUACUUCUCAAUUUGUAUCUUCUUCUUUAUUCCCUUACCUUCUUUCUUACUUGACCUUUCCUUUUUCAUAAGUAUAAUCUACUUUUCCUUUGCUGUUAAUUCACUGUAAUUUAACUCGUAUCCUGACCCGUUGAACCACUCGGAAUACUAAGGAUACUAGGGUCGUUCCUGUCUAUCAAUAUCCUGCCAAUGCCAUGUCUUUGACAUGGACUUACAUGAAUUAUUCCUGUCUCCAAUGCCAUAUAUAAUAUGGACUUACAUGGCUCAAUCCUGUCUCCAAAGCCAUAUUUCUAAUAUGGACUUACAUGGCUCAUUUCUGUUUUGUCCUGUCAACUCUAAUAUCCUAACAUUCCUAGGGUUCAACCGGGGCUUUCUAACACUUUUCCUCUGUCACUCCACCUUAAAUUCGACUUUACAUAUUUUCAUAACAUAAGUAUAUAAAUGCUGGAAAUUGACAAUAAUAAUGUAAAAUAAAAGAAUAUUGCAUUUAUUUACUGUAACUUACCUUGAUACAAAAUGUGACUAAACUUUACAAUUUAGUCCUUUACUUUUUCUUUUCCCCGAUCUACUCCCGAAUUUCGUUCUUCUUGAUCUAUAAUAGCAAAUUUAACUUAUUUAAUAUUCACAUUUAUUAAAACAGUCCUUGACCCAAACUUUUGCAAAAUUAUAUUUUUACCCCUAAACUUUCACAUAUUUGCACUUUUGCCCCAAGGCUCGUAAAUUAAACUUCAUCCUAUUUUCUUAUGUUUUAUGAUAUGCUGAUCAUUUUUCCCUUCUAUGGCAAUAUCAAAAUCACACUCUAACAUAUACUUAUGACUAUUGGUAUUUUUUUCCAAUUUAAGCCCUUUUACUCGUUUUCACUUAAAACCGAGUAGCAUAAGUUGUUUAACAUAAUUUAAAACCUCAUAUUCUAUCAUAAGACACCAAAAUACACAAACUUCAGUCAUGGGUAUUUUUCCAAAUAUGAACCCUAGGCUGAAUUAUUGCUAGAAUAAGCUUAAUCAAGUUACCGGGACUCCAAAAACGUAAAGAUCAUUAAAAACGGGGCUUGGAAUCACUUACUAUGAAGCUUGAAAGUUGAAGAAACCCCAGCUAUGGAGGAGAGCAAAAAUCGGCAGAAACUAAUUGAGAAGAUGACCAUUUUUGUGUUAUUUUUCCCUAUUUAAUUCAUUUAAUAUCCAAAUGACCAAAUUACCCCUCCUUACUAAACUUUCAAAAAUUCCUUCCAUGUCCUAAUUUUUGUCCAUGAACUUAAAAUUGGUCAAAUUGUUAUUUAAACCCUCCUAAUUAAUAUUCCAAAGUAAUUUCAUACUAAAAACUUCUAGAAUGCAAGUUUUGCAAAUUAUUCAAUUUAGUCCCUAACCUCAACUUAAGCAUUUUAUGCAUGGAAUUUCAUCACGAAAUUUUCACACAAUCAUGCAAUCAUACCAUGAACCUUAAAAUAAUAAUAAAAUAAUUUUUUCUACCUCGGAUUUUUGGUUUCGCAACCACUAUUCCGUUUAGGCCCUAUUUUGGGAUGUUACAUUUCUCCCCCCUUUUAGGGAUUUUCGUCCCGAAAAUCUUACCUGUGAAGAGAUUUGGGUACUGUUUUUGCAUAGCCUCUUCGGGUUCCCAUGUAGCCUCAUCUACCCCGUGUCUAUUCCAUAGUACUUUUACAAGUGCAAUAUUUUUAUUCCUUAAUUGCUUUACCUCUCGAGCUAGAAUCUUUGCCGGUUCUUCACCGUAAGUCAUGUCUGGCUGAAUCUCAACCUCUGUCUGAGAAAUCACAUGUGAUGGAUCUGAACAAUAACGACGUAGCAUAGACACAUGAAAUACAUUAUGAAUCUUCUCUAACUCAAUCGGAAAAACUAACCGAUAUGCUAAUGGUCCGACUCUCUCAAUUACUUCAAACGGUCCAAUAAAACGUGGACUUAGUUUGCCUUUCUUGCCAAAUCUGAGAACUUUCUUCCACGGGGAUACUUUCAGAAAAAACUUUGUCACCAACUUGAUAUUCGAUCUCUUUUCUUUUUAAAUCUGCGUACGACUUCUGCCUGUCUGAAGCUGCUUUUAAACAAUUUCUGAUAACUUUCACUUUUUCUUCUGUUUCUUUAACUAGAUCAACCCCGUAAAUCUGGCUUUCUUUAAGCUCUGUCCAAUAUAAAGGUGUACGACAUUUACGUCCAUACAAAGCUUCAUAAGGUGUCAUCUUCAAACUUGACUGGUAACUAUUAUUAUAGGCAAACCCUACCAAUGGUAAGUAUUUUUCCCAACUACCUUGAAAUUCUAAUACACAACAUCUAAGCAUAUCUUCAAGUACCUGAAUAACUCUCUCUGACUGACCGUCGGUUUGAGGAUGGAAAGUUGUACUAAAACUCAACUUUGUGCCCAAAGCCUCUUGUAAUUUCUUUCAAAACCGUGAAGUAAAUCUUGGAUCUCUGUCUGAAAUAAUCGAUAAUGGUACCCCAUGUAGCCUGACUAUCUCUGAAAUAUACAACUCCGCCAACUUGUCAAGUGAAUAAUCCAUACGAACUGGGAUAAAAUGAGCCGACUUCGUUAACUUAUCAAUCACAACCCAUAUUGCAUCUUUCUUUCUCGGUGUAAACGGUAAUCCUGUCACAAAAUCUAUAGUAACUGAUCCCAUUUCCAUUUCAGAACUAGCACAGGCUGCAAUAAUCCUGAGGGUACCUGAUGUUCGGCCUUUACCUGUUGACAAAUCAAGCAUCUAGAAACAAACUCUGAAAUAUCUCUUUUUAUUCCUACCCACCAAUACAAUUUUUUCAAAUCAUUAUACAUUUUUGUACUGCCUGGAUGAAUAGAUAAAGGACUGCUAUGUGCUUCCUGUAAAAUCUUCCGAAUAAGCUCAUCAUUCUUUAGUACACAUAUUCUGUCUCUAAACAUCAAACAACCAUCAGAACCAAUCCAGAAAUCUGAUUCUAUGCCUGACUCACAUUGAGCUCUUUUAGCUUGUAACUCAUUAUCAUCUUUCUAAGCUUCACAAAUCUCUUCAAGAAAUACCGGUUUAGCUCUCAAUUCAGCUAAAAUAGAACCAUCAUCUGACAUGGCUAAAUUGGUAUUCAAAGCUCGCAAUGUAAAUAAAAGUUUCCUACUUAAAGCGUCAGCAACUACAUUUACCUUACCUGGGUGAUAAUCAAUCACUAAUUCAUAAUCUUUAAGCAAUUCCAACCAUCUUCUUUGCCUCAAAUUCAAAUCUUUUUGAGUCAUCAAGUAUUUCAAGCUUUUAUGAUCGGUAAAUAUCCGCCACCUUUCACCAUACAAAUAAUGUCUCCAAAUCUUCAAUGCAAAUACAAUAGCAACUAGCUCUAAAUCAUGUGUCGGAUAAUUUUUCUCAUGUGGCUUCAAUUGUCUAGAGGCAUAAGCAAUUAUCUUUCCUUCCUGCAUGAGUACACAACCGAGCCCAUUCAAGGAUGCAUCACUGUAAAUCACAAAUUCUUUACUCGGUUCCGGCUGUACUAAGAUAGGAGCUUCCGUCAACAAUGCCUUUAACUUGUCAAAACUUUGUUGGAACUUCUCAGUCCAUUCAAACUUAACAUCCUUCCGUAGCAGUCUCGACAACGGGGUAGCUAUCAUGGAAAAUCCCUCCACAAAUCGUCUAUAAUAUCCGGCAAGACCAAGAAAACUUCUAACUUCUGAUACAUUUCUAGGAAGCUUCCAAUCAACAAUGGCUAAAAUCUUGCUCGUAUCAACCUUAAUACCUUCACCUGAGACAAUAUGUCCAAGAAAACCAACUUCUCGUAACCAGAACUCACUUUUGCUGAACUUGGCAUACAACUGAUUACCUCUCAGAAUUUGUAAAACUGUUCUCAAAUGCUCUGCAUGCUCAGUCUCAUCAUGAGAAUAAAUCAAAAUAUCAUCAAUGAACACAACUACAAACUUAUCUAAAUACGAUCUGAAAAUUCAGUUCAUUAAGUCCAUGAAAAUGGCAGGAGCAUUAGUCAAGCCAAAUGGCAUCACAAGGAACUCAUAAUGACCAUACCUAGUCCGAAAAGCAGUCUUCAGGACAUCUGACUCUUUAACUCGCAACUGAUAGUAUCCGAAUCUCAAAUCUAUCUUGGAAAACACAGUAGCUCCCUUCAAUUGAUCAAACAAAUCAUCAAUUCUAGGCAAUGGAUACUUGUUCUUUACUGUUACCUUGUUAAGUUACCGAUAAUCUAUGCAUAAUCUCAUCGAUCCGUCUUUCUUUUUCACAAAUAGCACUGGUGCACCCCAUGGUGAACUACUGGGUCUUACCAAGCCUUUAUCUGUUAAUUCUUGCAACUGAGCUUUCAAUUCUUUCAAUUCCAACGGAGCCAUUCUAUAAGGAGCAAUAGAAAUGGGCGUGGUACCUGGAAUCAACUCAAUACCAAACUCAACUUCUCUAACAGGAGGCAAACCUGGUAGUUCUUCCGGAAACACAUCGGGAAACUCACAUACCACAGGCACUGAUUCAAUUUUCAAUUCUGGAUCCUUAGUGUUUAACACAAAAGCAAGAUAAGCUUCAUACCCUUUUCUCAAACAUUUCUGAGCAGACAUAACAGAAAUUAUGGGAAAUAAACUAUCUGACUCUUCUGAAUUAACCCGAAGAAUUUCACCAUUUUCACACUUCAACUCAAUGAAUUUCUUUCUACAAUUCACUAUCACAUCAUGUGUAGUCAAUCAAUCCAUACCAAGAAUCACAUCAUACUCAUCAAAUGGCAAUAGCAUGAGAUCAGCAGGAAAACAGUAGCCUCUAAUCAUUAAAGGACAAUUUCUACAUACUUUAUCUACUAAUACAUGCUUGCCUAAUGGAUUCGAUACUUUAAUCACAAAUUCUGUAGAUUCUAUAGGCAUACUUAUACUAGGCAUCAAUUUCAUACAAACAUAAGAAUGAGUCGAACCCGGAUCAAUCAGAGCAAUGACAUUAAUAUCAUAUAGAGAAAAUGUACCCGUAAUCACAUCGGGGGAGGAUGCCUCUUCGCGUGCACGAAUAGCAUAAGUCCUUGCAGGGGCUCUAACAUCUGGUCUCACAGCCGAAUCUCUAAAGGUACCUCUGUUACUUGCUCCUACUCCCGGUUGCCUCGGUGAUCUGCCUCUAGUAGGAGCAUUUCCGGAUCUAGCACUCUGUGUUACUUCUCGGCUAGCCACUUCUGGACAUUCUCGUACAAAAUGAUCUGGAGCACCACAUUUAUAGCAAACAUUUUCGCCUGCCCGACAAGGACCAUAAUGAAGUCUACCACACCGUGGACACCCUGAUCUACCCUGUCUGACAUUACCUACACUCGUAGUCGAGGUGGUCUGAGCCUUCGGAUCCUUAAAUCUGUUACCUCUAUUCUGACUAGAUUGCCCUGCUGAAAAGCUAGAUCUGGUAGAAAACUCCACUGACAGUCGGAUAUCAUCAUUUAACCCAUCCUCAAACCUUUUACACAUGAUAGCCUCUGUGGACACACAUUCUCGAGCAUAUUUACUAAGCCUGACAAAUUCGCGCUCAUAAUCGGUCACUGUCAUAGUACCUUGUUUCAAUUCCAAGAAUUCCUUUCUCUUCUGGUCAAUAAACCUCUGACUGAUGUACUUUUUACGAAAUUCCUCCUGAAAGAAAUCCCAAGUGACCCUCUCCUUUGGUACAACUGAUACAAGUGUCUUCCACCAGUAGUAGGCUGAGUCUCUAAGAAGUGAUACUACACAUUUCAUACAUUCCUCGGGUGUACAAGAUAAUUCGUCAAAGACUCUGAUAGUAUUUUCUAACCAAAAUUCUGCUCUUUCUGCAUCAUCAUCUUUUGUUGCUCGGAACUCUUCUGCCCUUUGUUUCCUGAUUCUAUCAACUGGUGGCUUUUCUCUUACCACUGUACCUGUGACUGGGGAAGCUUGAGCUACAUGGGUAGCCUGAGAAUCAUGAGGGGGUGGAGGUCUAACUGCCGGAUUCGUACGAACGAACUCGGCAAACAAAUCAUUCAAAGCUCGGAAGAGAGCUUCUCGAGUCACUCCUCCCUGAUCAACUAUUACUGGCCUAUUCUCAGAUGGCGCUGCCCCUUCUAUGGGAGCAGGCGCAUUACUUUCUACAUCAUCAUCACCAGCUCGUCCGGGAUCCAUUACUAUAAAACAAAAUAUUUAAAAAUCGUCAGGAGUCGUCACACUAUCAAAAUACAAGUAUGGCAUGUAUAGCUAGACUUUUUCUCACACUAACUGUUCCGAGAACCGACUAAACCUGCUCUGAUACCAAUAAUGUAACACCCCCACGCCCGAAACCGUCACCGGAGUCAAGCUUGAGGUGUUACUAAACUUAUCUUACCUUUUAAACAACUCUAAACCACUUAUUUUAAUUUUUGGAAUAAACUAUUUUUCUGCGUCAUGGUUGCUUAAAAAUUCAUUUCUCGAGUUUCAAAACUCAAAAUUAAGAUCCAUAAAUUUUUCCUGAAACUAGACUCAUAUAUAUAUCUACUAAUUUUUUUCUAGAAUUUUUGACUUGGCCAAUUAGUACAGUUUAUUAGUUAAAGUUUCCCCUGUUUCAAAACUCAACUACACUGACCUCUUCUUACUACGAGCCAUGUUUCUUCAUGUAAAAAAAUUCAUAUGGUUAAGCCGUUUGUUUCUCUCAAAACUAGAUUCAACAAGGAUUCUAACUAUAUAAAUUACACCUUCUAAUUAGUUUUGUAUAUUUUAUGGUGAAUUUCCAAAUUUGAAACAGGGGAUCCAGAAAUCACUCUGACCCUGUUUCACUAAAACUCAGAUAUCUCAUAAAAUAUAAUACCUUUACCUGUUUUGCUUAUUCCAUAAGAAAAUAUACAUAAUAAGCUUUAAUUUCAUAUAUUAUUCAUCUUCAAACUAUGUUUCUGUAAUUUUUAGUGAUUUUUGAAAGUUACGUCAUUUCUGUUACUUGAAUCUGUUUUUAGGUUACUUUCACAUUUUUCAUAAUUUUCAUGUGAUAAUCAUCAAUCAAUCAUACAUAUUAAUAAAUAUGUAUAUCAUCGGCUAUUUUAUUAGCUAAUCACUAGCAAGUAUUUACACAUUAUUCAUUGUUCAUAUUAUACCAAAAGUAGCUAAGUUUCUAUACAUGCCAUACCCAAAACAAAACGUCUAGUUAUACCGAGUUAUUUCUUUGAUAGUGUGAUCGGCCUCCGACGUUUCCUUCGAUCCCCGAGUGACUAGAUAAGUACUAUAAGAAGAAGAAAAUAAAGAGAUUAAGCACUAGGCUUAGUAAGCUUACAAGCAAAUAAAUCACAACAUUCAACAUAAUGGAUAAUUAUGCAUAAUAUCAUCUAACAUCAUAAAUUUCUCUACUUCUCAAUUUGUAUCUUCUUCUUUAUUCCCUUACCUUCUUUCUUACCUGACCUUUCCUUUUUCAUAAGUAUAAUCUACUUUUCCUUUACUGUUAAUUCACUGUAAUUUAACUCGUAUCCUGACCCAUUGAACCACUCGGAAUACUAAGGAUACUAGGGUCGUUCCUGUCUAUCAAUAUCCUGCCAAUGCCAUGUCUUUGACAUGGACUUACAUGAAUUAUUCAUGUCUCCAAUGCCAUAUAUAAUAUGGACUUACAUGGCUCAAUCCUGUCUCCAAAGCCAUAUUUCUAAUAUGGACUUACAUGGCUCAUUUCUGUUCUGUCCUGUCAACUCUAAUAUCCUAACAUUCCUAGGGUUCAACCGGGGCUUUCUAACACUUUUCCUCUGUCACUCCACCUUAAAUUCGACUUUACAUAUUUUCAUAACAUAAGUAUAUAAAUGCUGGAAAUUGACAAUAAUAAUGUAAAAUAAAAGAAUAUUGCAUUUAUUUACUGUAACUUACCUUGAUACAAAAUGUGACUAAACUUUACAAUUUAGUCCUUUACUUUUUCUUUUCCCCGAUCUACUCCCGAAUUUCGUUCUUCUUGAUCUAUAAUAGCAAAUUUAACUUAUUUAAUAUUCACAUUUAUUAAAACAGUCCUUGACCCAAACUUUUGCAAAAUUAUAUUUUUACCCCUAAACUUUCACAUAUUUGCACUUUUGCCCCAAGGCUCGUAAAUUAAACUUCAUCCUAUUUUCUUAUGUUUUAUGACAUGCUGAUCAUUUUUCCCUUCUAUGGCAAUAUCAAAAUCACACUCUAACAUAUACUUAUGACUAUUGGUAUUUUUUUCCAAUUUAAGCCCUUUUACUCGUUUUCACUUAAAACCGAGUAGCAUAAGUUGUUUAACAUAAUUUAAAACCUCAUAUUCUAUCAUAAGACACCAAAAUACACAAAUUUCAGCCAUGGGUAUUUUUCCAAAUAUGAACCCUAGGCUGAAUUAUUGCUAGAAUAAGCUUAAUCAAGUUACCGGGACUCCAAAAACGUAAAGAUCAUUAAAAACGGGGCUUGGAAUCACUUACUAUGAAGCUUGAAAGUUGAAGAAACCCCAGCUAUGGAGGAGAGCAAAAAUCGGCAGAAACUAAUUGAGAAGAUGACCAUUUUUGUGUUAUUUUUCCCUAUUUAAUUCAUUUAAUAUCCAAAUGACCAAAUUACCCCUCCUUACUAAACUUUCAAAAAUUCCUUCCAUGUCCUAAUUUUUGUCCAUGAACUUAAAAUUGGUCAAAUUGUUAUUUAAACCCUCCUAAUUAAUAUUCCAAAGUAAUUUCAUACUAAAAACUUCUAGAAUGCAAGUUUUGCAAAUUAUUCAAUUUAGUCCCUAACCUCAACUUAAGCAGUUUAUGCAUGGAAUUUCAUCACGAAAUUUUCACACAAUCAUGCAAUCAUACCAUGAACCUUAAAAUAAUAGUAAAAUAAUUUUUUCUACCUCGGAUUUUUGGUUUCGCAACCACUAUUCCGUUUAGGCCCUAUUUUGGGAUGUUACAGAAAUAACCCAAAAUAAGGUUGUCUUAAUAAUGCAAUAAAAAACUGAAAACCUUAAUUUUUUUUGACUAUUUCUUUUUUUGUUCCAAAACCAUAUAUAUCGAAACCAAAUAGAAAUAAUGUAGUGGUUCAAAGCUAAAUAAUUAACAAGCACAUGUAUUCAUAAUUUUGGCAUGGAUAAAAACACCAAAGCAAUUCACACAUAUACAUGUAUUCAUAAUCAAAUAGAAAAACUUACCUGAAUUUACCAUGUAAAUCUAAAGUUGUAUUUAUGAUUAAACAGAUAUUCACAUAAAUACUUGAAAAAUAUUUUCAAGCCAAUAAAUCUCAAAAACAAAAUCAUAAUAGUUGGCAUAUCCCACAAUUCAUACAAUAAACCAUAUCAUCAUAAUCUAACCAAAUAUUUGGAACCAUAAGAUGCCAAAACCUAAAAUUAUAGAACCAAACUUAAAACCAAAUUAUUUAAAUAUGAAUAUAGUUGACAUGAAUUUGCACCAAAGCACCCGUAGAAUUGAAUAUAUAACCAUAGCAAUAAUAAUAAUAAUAAUAAUAAUAAUAAUAAUAAUAACAAUUUCAACAAUAUCCAUCAUAACUUAAUUUCACCAAUUAAACUAUAAAAGAUAUCUUACUGAAUAAUGGUUAUAAACACCUAUUCAUGCCAACUAUAAUCAUGCAUUAAUCCUCCAAAUCAUUUAUAUGCAUAUAAUAUAUAUACACACAAUAUAUACACACAAUUAUAUCAUUUAUAUAAUAAAAAAAUAAUACUGGUUUGUCUUACAUAUUUCAUGUAAACUAAAAUUUAUAUUAAUGACUAAAGACAUUAACAUAAAACUCAUUUAUACGCACAAAUACUUAAAAAAAACCAUAACCACCAAAUAUAAAAGAAUCCCAAAUUGUAUAAAAGCCUUCAUAUGCACAACCACUUUUGAAAAUUCAUAGCCACCAUAUUAAAAAAAAUCUCAAACAUUUUAAUUUUAGUCGAGUUCUAUAAGGACUAAAACUUAUAUAAAAUAAUUAUAGCAGGAACCAAAAGUAAUCAUUUGUAUAUAUGAAUUGAAUUCAAAGGUGAAUAUAAUUCAUCAUGAAUUAAGACAAAAGAUGAUAUUUUCAUAUACAUUCAACCACAAAUAAAAAAUUUAAAACAAAUAGUGUGAAAAAAAAACAUCUUAACAACUUUCAUUUAUUCAUUAUUAAGCAUAAUCAUGAGCAAAAGCAUAAUAUACAAAUAGCAAACUAGAUUUUAACCUCAGGCAGCUUGUAUUUUGCGUUGUUUUAUAUGCGCAUACAUGCUAAAACAAGCAAAAUAAUUGACAUACACUACAGCAAAAUUGACUUUUAGCGGCGUUUUUUUAGGCUUUUAGCGGCGCUUUUAAGCGCCACUAAAACUACUCGCGGCGUUUUUACAAGCGCCGCAAAAAACGCCUUUAUAGAUGGCACCACUAAAUUUUGCGGCAUUUAUUUGAAAAAAACGCCGCUAAAGGUCAGGACCUUUAGCGGCGCUUUUCCCACAAACGCCGCUAAAGGUCAUAAAAAUUAAAAAAAUAUAUAUUAUAAAAUAUUGUAAAAGUCCUGAAAAAUAUAAAAAAAUUAAAAUUCAUUAUCAAAAUAUUGAGAAGAAGAAUAAUCUAUGAUAUAAAUACAUCCCGCCAAACAAAAUACCGCACUUAUACACCAGAAAUCUAACAAAAUACAAAUAGAACAAAAUAAGGAUGAAUGAAAGACAUUAAUGAUAUAUAAAAUCAUUGUUUCUAAUGCAUAUGUAGAAAUCAAGCCAUGGUGUGCACCAAGGAUCCGGCUCUCGUAAUAGCACCAGGCCUUGAUCAAAAUAUUACUGCGUUUGAAAAUAUGAUCUUUUCCAAUUAGCUGGUCAACCUGAAAAACAAACAGUUCAAAAGAAGUCAUGUGUCAAUUAAACUUGCCACCCUUGAUAUUGCUAUAGGAAUUAAUGCAUGGAGAGUGAUGGAGAUGGGAUUGGGGAUUCCUCAAGGCUGCAGCAGUAAACUUAAGCAACAGUGUGGGAAAAGGUGAAAUGAGAGAUUUUAGACUAAAUCCAAAGCAUUAAUUUCUAUUAAAUGAAAACAAACAAACAAAUAUAAUUGUUAAAGAAACAUUAAUUUCUCUUAAAUCCGGUAAAAUCUUAAAGGAUUUAGAAAUGAAUGAAAUAUAAGGGGGAAAAGAAAGAGGAAAAGCUAAAAUUCACUCUGUCGGUUAGUAGUGAUAUGGAAGACAAAAAGGAUAAAACACCACAUACCAAACGAAGAUCAUAAAACUACUAAGAAUUUAAUGCCAGAAAAUGAAACAAUGUACCAUUUAGAAUUAUACUUUUGAAUCAUCUUUUGCAUCAAGUGAUUUAUAUGAAUUAUGAUUACCACAUCCACAAUGUUUGGAAUGGAAACGGAUUCUAAACAUAUAAAUGCUGGAUAGGAUUAGAUGAUACCUUCUCCAGAAAGCAAAGUGCAGAUAGACCAGCCGUUUGAUUGAAAGAGAUGUCCACCGGUAUGUCAUUCACAGUGCAUUUCACUAUUUUAACCUGAAAUCAAAUUCCAAAAUAACCGAAAUGAGCUCAAGAUGAUUUUAAGCUAUAUUUGCUGCUUACGUACAUAUACUAAUAUGCAAUAAAUACCAUUUAACUGCACGGGAACAACGACAAAGAUGCAGCUGAAAAUUUAAUAUCAGCAUAAUAGCACAAAUAGAAGUUGUUGCCAAGUGUCCAACAGCAUAUGACUUAUGUGGUUUUAUUCAAUAUCAGUUAAGCACCUAGUCGUUUGCUACCCUAAUUUCCGUUAUCUACAUUACAGGAACGUCUUUUAAAUUUUUACACGUGACAGAAAGUUAUAAAGGGUGCUACCUUAAUCGAUUAGCAUUGGGAUGCAGUUUCGAUGCUAUGUCCAAUAAAAGCGAAGUUAAGGAAAGAAAUAAAUCAGAUGAAAAACACAAUCCUUUAAUUAAAUAAUAUUUAAAUAAUUAUUAUAUUUAUAAUAAUAUUUAAAUAAAUUAAUCCAAAUUAUAUAAUUUAAAAAAUUGUGUAUAAAAAGUUGAAAACCAUAUAAAAUGAAAUGUUAAUUUUGUUCCAUGAAAAAAUAAAAAUAAAAAUAAUACACGUAAUGCAUAUAUUCAAAAAUGAAAUACAUGAGAAAAACUUCAAAACAAAAAUUAAUGACAAAAAAAAUCAUAAUAUUUAGUCAUGUAUAAUACACAGAAGUUUAUUACUGAAAAAUGAAAAAGCAUAAUACACAGAAGUUCUCACUUCAUAUAUCAUCAAACUAUAGAUGGUUAAGAAUGUCAGUGUCAAAUCAAGAAGGAAAAACUAAUAUAUUAAGAACUAAAACUCUACAAAAUUAAGCUUAGUUAAAAGUAGACAUGGUUGAUAGCAGAAGAUGAUGUAACAUAAGUCACAAACUAUACACUGUUUCUUAACUUUGUCAUAAAUAUUAGCACAAAAGAAAAAAGGGAAAUGCAGUUAAACAACUUGCUAUUUACAUUCAAAUUUAAAGACCCAUACGAUAGAGUCUAAAAUAGCAAGCAUACCCAACUCUCCUUUCCUGAAAGGUUCUAAACAAUUCAUUUUCUUCUACUUCGAACCCCACACCUUUGUCCAAAACAGGGACUGGAAUAACAUUUAGCCCAUACACAAGAAUUGAUCUAAAUUCAUGCUAAUAACAUCAUCAAGAGAUCAAGGGUGCCAAUUUCAAAGUGAAUAAAAGUUCCAACAUACCACUGCCAGUUGUUCUGCCAUGAAAUGGUUCACUUCCUCAAAGCUAAAGUUUCUUGUCUCAUACUCUCUUCCUGCCAAUAUUAUCAAGACUGAUCAAACGAACAAAUCCAACAUUUAAAUUUAUUUCAUUGGUAUUAUCAGAAGAAAGGCAUUGUGUACCAAUGAGUUUGAUAACAACAUUAGCCUUUGCUAUCACAGCCUUGAUUGAAUUUUCAUCCCUUGGAUCGUAUUUCAUUGGCACUAUCUAAUAAAGAGAAAUAUCAAAUUAAAACCAAAUAAAACACAAUAAGCACUUCAAUAUGAAUUCAAAGAAAGAAGGGGAAAAACGCAAUUCCAUAAGGUAUGCAACCUGUCCUAAAUCUCCCAUCAACUUGAGAUGACGAGGGUUAUCCUCGGAACCUCUGAAGGGAACUAACACCUGAGAUCCCAUUUUAGCUAAAAUAAAAAGAAAAAAAAUCAGUAUACACAAAUAAACCUUAAAACAACAACAACAAUAGCAGCAAGCUCUCUGUAAUGUACACAUUAAGGCAAAACAAUGUACAAUUAUAACUACAAGAUUAAGUUUAAAUUACCCAGUUAUUGUACAAGAUAACAACCAAGGAAUCCAGUAGCGUCGAAAACAGUAGCUAUAAUGCCACUGCAGGGGAAGGGAAAAUCAUUUGACAUUCAAAGAGAAAACUUUUAAAGAUAAAAGUUCAAAUCCCAAAAAAAGGACCUGACGGAAGAUCGGCCAUCGGUGCCCUUGCGAACGAGGUGCCCAUGCCCUUGUGGGAAGCCAGUGUAGAUCCGUAUCGCUGAUGAUCACCUCCAUAGUCUGAAAAGGAAAAUCGAUAGUAAAUGAUUUAUAACACUUCGAUAAAAGGUAAAAGAAAAAAAACCCAUCAAUUUGUUGCAAAUGUUAAACACCAUUAGAAAGAAGAAGAAAAGAUAAAUUGGAGAAAAUAAAAAGAGGGAAUGGAAAUGUUACAGUGAUCGGAGAGAGGGUAAAUAGACUUGAUAGAAGAGAUUGAAGCAGUUGGCCUCAGAGAUUGGAAUAGUUAAAACAAUUGAAGACUCAGGGAUGGAAUUAGGACUCGGCGGAAACGAUGGCAGUGGCAGUGGCAGUGGCGUUUACCGUCUGGACGCUUGCACUUAUGCUUCUCGAAAUCAAAGACUGAAUAAGGAUUAAGAAAAGUUCUGCAGAGAAAAAUCUAGGGUUCCAAAUUUGGGCGUUUAAGAAUCGAGGUUGAGGUAGAAAAAAUGGCAAUGGGCAUGGAGUUAAAAGUUCUGAAUGAGCAAAAGAGUAGUUAAAUUUUAUUUGGGGGAUUUAGGAUGAGAAGAAGAGGGAGUAACGAGCGGGUAAGCAAAAGUCCUUUUUUGAGUGAGCGGGAUUUUGAUUUUUUUGGGUAAAAAAAUGGCUUUUUGUGGUGUUCUUAAAAAAAAAGCCACUACGCCACUAUAGCUUAUUUUUUAUGCCAUUAUUGCUUAAUUUUAAUUUUUUUUCAUAUUUAACAUAUUUUUUCUAUUUUUUUUCAAAAUUUUUGUGUUGAGAUUAUCAUUUUUUGGAAUUUUUUUAAUUUUGAAUAUUGAAUUUUUUAACUGAAAUAUGGAAUAAAAUAUUAAAUUUUAAAAUUUUAAGUUCCUUAUUUUUUAAUUUUUAAUUUUUUAUUUUAAAUUUUAAAUUUUAAAUUUUUUUGAAUAUUUUUAUAAUUUUUAAACUAUCAUAUAAAAUACAAAAGAAAACUUUAACAGAAAUAAAAUGAAAUCGAUGAAUUAAAAAAAUAUAAAAUGACACAGCAAUACAAACAUUAUUCUUUUAAGUAUGGUCCACAUUAGUUGUUUAGAUUUUUAUAUAAAUGACAUUUAAUUUUGAUAGAGAUACAUCUCAGAAUUAUAUAUGAAUUUCGAUUUAAUGUGUAAUUGUAGACGUGAAAUUCUAAUUGUGGUUUAAAUGUAUAGUCGAAACUUUAAUUUUGAUUUAAUCAUACACAUUUUAAAAAAUAAAUACAUCAAAAUAUUUUUAUAUUGAAUAUAUAUAAAAAUUUAUGUAUGCAAUAUAUAAAUAUAAAAUGAUAUUAUAUUAAUAAUUGUGUUAAUAAUUCACAAGAACUGGAUCAAAUUAAAGUUCAUGUAUACAACUGCACACUAAAUCCUAAACCCUAAACCCUAAAUCAUAAACUUUAAAAUAGUAACUCAUAAACAUUAAACCCUUAACCAUAUACCCUAAACUAUAAUGAUAAUUAAUUUAAUAUUUUAAAAUUAAUAUUAUCUCUUUUACAAUUAUAUAAGAAAAUAUUUAUCAUAUAAAUUAAAAAACACUAAUUAAUCUAAUCUCUAAUCUCUAAACCCUAAACCCUAAAACAUAAACAAUUAACCUUGAACCCCUAACCCUUAACCCCCGACCCCUAAGCCUUAAACCCCUAAAGCUCAAACCCCAACCCUUAAACCAUAAACCAUAAACCAUAAUCCCUAAACCCAUAAUCCAUAAACUUUAAAAUAGUAACUCAUAAACCUUAAACCCUUAACCAUAUACCCUAAAUCAUAAACCCUAAACUAUAAUGAUAAUUAAUUCAAUAUUUUAAAAUUAAUACUAUCUCUUUUACAAUUAUAUAAGAAAAUAUUAACAUAUAAAUUAAAAAACAAUCAGUCAUAUACCAAAAAUCUUUAAAAUUAUUUUAAAUAAUAGUAUUUUAAUUUUUUUCAUUUUUAACAAAUACUUUUACUUUCAAAUUUUUUUUACGUGUCAUUAUUUUUUUCUGAAAAAUUUAAAUAUUCAAUUAAAAAUAAAUUGUAUUAAAAUGAACCACUUAAAUUAAAUAGAUAGAUGAAAUGUUUUUUGCGGCGUUUUUCAAAAAGCGCCGCUAAUACUCGAUAUAUAAAACAACGGUGUUUUGCAAAACUUUUUGCGGCGCAGUUGGCAUAAUUUUUUGCGGCGUUUUUUUAAAAAGCGUUGCUAAAGGUUACCUAUAGCAGCGUUUUUUAAAAAGCGCUGCUAAUGCUUAUCUUUAGAGGCGUUUUUCAAAAGCGCCGCUAAAGCCGCGGCAGUUUAGCAUAAUUUUUUGCGGCGUUUUUUUAAAAAGUGCCGCUAAAGGUGACCUAUAGCGGCGUUUUUUAAAAUGCGCCGUUAAUGCUUGAUCUUUAGCGGCAUUUUUCAAAAAGCGCUGCUAAAAACCUAUUUUGGUGAAGUGAUAAUGCCAUAAAAAUUAAUCUAAAAUGAAUUAUUAGAUUUGCAGAAUUAAUCUAAAAAUUAUGAAUCUAGAUUUACAUAUAAUAAAUCAAGAUUAUCAAGAAUGUUAUAUUAUGCAAUUGCAAUUAAAACAUUCUAAACAAGAAAAUCUUAAAAGAUCAAAACCAUAUUUAAUCCAAGAUUCAUUGUUGAAUGGAAAUCAAAUAAAAAAUAACCCUAAGAAGAUUGAAUCAUAACUAUCCAAAACCUAAAAAAUAUUUACAAGAAUUUCAAAGAUUCAACAUAGAAAUAUCAAAUCUAUAAGAUCUAAAAAACGAAUCAAUCCAAAAUAAUAGAGAAUUAAUUCAUUCCAAAAAGAAUAGAAACUUAAUCAAUUUCCAAUGAUUCAACAUGACGAGGCUCGGAUGCCACUUGUUGGAUUUGUAAAAUAAAUCUGAAAUAAAACUUAAUAAACCAGGAUCUAUCAUGUCAAAUCAUCAAGAAUAAAUCAAGAAAAAAACUAGAUGCGGAAGCGUACCUGAAUCCAUAAAUUCCUUGAAGUUUUACUGGAUCUUGGGGAUUUGAUCUUCCAAAUUAGAACAUAAGAAAUUCAGAGAAUAGCUGCUCUCUUUUUCCUAAUGAUGGGAUAUUAGAAAAGAUAUCUUGUGUAUAAUUUGGGGACCAUAACCCUAAUAUUUAUAACCUUAGCAUAUUAGUUCUAAUCAAAUUCUAAUUAGCCCAUCAUUAAUCAUAAUUUGAUUAGAAUUCAAGUACUAGAGUAUCUACACAUAUUUGACCCAUCCUUUAUUUAAUAAUUGAAACCCAAUAAAAUUUUAACCAAAUUAGAUCACUCUUAAUUUGGGCUAACAUAUCAUGAUAAUAAAUAAUAACAUGUAAUUACCCUUAUUAUAUAUGUGAUGUCCAUAUUUUCCAACAAAAUAUUUUUGUAAUUUUUCGAACCGAGUUGAUGUCUGGUUAACUCGUAGCACCAACUCAACCAAGGGUUUAAAUAAUAGUAUAGGUCAUUACAUUUUAAUUAAUUUUUAGAAUAAGUAUGUUUUGGAAUUAUUUCUAAAAAUAUGUUUUUUUGAUGCACCUCAAUAGUCAAAACUAAUAACUAAUUUCCCUAAACUUUAGACCCCUAAUUUCAACAAAGUGUAUAAUUGUUGAAAUGUCCAUUUGUUGGUCUAAGCGGCAAAUGCAAAGCACCAAGAUCAUUUUUUAUGCACUAAAUCAUCCACAGUGUUAUUAUAUUGGUUUACCUCAAAUAAAACAUUUUUUACUGAUCCCCAUUGUUUCUACUACAAUAGAAAAUCUUACACAUGGCCCUUAACCUAACAUUAGACAACUCGAUGGUUUUCGUUAAUCAUCGUGCUUAAACAAACUCAUAAAAAGUUUACAUGUAUAAUUGAGAAACCUUAACCCAUCUUCUUAAACUAUAAAUCCCCAGAGUCGUGGGUUGAGUAAGCUAGAAACCAUGGGGGAUUUUUUUUGAACUUGGCAUCUUUUUCAAAUAACAGAAAAACCCUAACUUAUUUUCCUAAACCUUAACCCCAAAAGUUUAAUCCCCUAACAAAACCUUAGACACUAAAUAAAACAUUUAAUAAAAUCCCAUCAAAUUCUUUCUUCUAAGGGUUUUUAUGCAUCUCUAACUUCAAUAAAAAGUAACCUCAACUCUCAUAUUCAAAUGCCUUUUGUGAUAAUGGAUUUCCUCAAGUGUUGGAGUGCCAAUUGAGUAUGAAAGCUUCUUUUAAACUAACUUUAAAUAGGCUAUAGGGUUUAUGAUAAACCUUGUUUAUGAUUAGUAUGAAAGAUUUCACUAUAUCAAAACAAUGUUUCAACACUUGUGGGAAACCAUGAUCUAAAUCAAGAGAGUUCAAGUUUUCCUUGAUUGAAGUUAGAUUUUGGUCGAAAUCAUUUAUCUAAAAGUGAUAGUAGCCAGAAUAAGUUGGAGGAAAAUAAUUUUAAAAGACUUUAUCAAAAUUUUAAUUUAAGGUUUAAGGUUUGAGGGAAAAUGGUAAAUAUUUAAGGGUUAAAAGAUUUUGGUUUGGGGCUAGAAGGAAAAGGUUAAGGUUCAACUCCUGUUCAUUAGGUAAACUGACUACAAUCUUGACACCCAUGGGUUGUUCAGCUUUAGUCAUAAUAAAAUGCAAACAAAUACAUAACAAACAAUUGUUCAUCUUUCAAAAUCAAAGCUAACCACUAUUUGAAGAUGUUGGGUCUAGUACCCUAAAUCUAGUAUAUUCAUUUUGUAUAGUUGUAUUUUUUGAGAAAAUUGGUUUAAUAAAAAUAUCAAUUGAUUACAUUAAUAGCCUUUGUCUAUUAUCCUCAAUGAUUUUGUAUGCAAAGUAAAAUGGAAAUAAAAAUUGGCUCACUAGUUAUCUAACAUUUAACUAAUACUAAAUCGUAUUACGUGGUAAGAUAGUAAUACAGAAAGACAACUUGUAUUAGUAGAAAAACCUAAAUAAGUCCUUAGUCUAAUUGUAAAUGAGCAAACCGGUUUAAAGACUUAAGUCGUCUAGUAAGUCCAAUUAGGGAGAUGCUUUGUCUUGAGCAUCAGAAUGAAGGACUCCUAGAAGAUAGAGACAUAGAUGUCACUGAAUAGACUGACAAUAUAUUGGACAGGACCUAAGUAGGAUAGAUCCUAGAUUAAUUUAUGAAUUUAUUCACUUGAGACAUUCAUAGUGUGGCAUACCUUAAUCUUGAUUAGAUGAUGGACUAUGCAUGUGUGAAUCGUAUACUUUGAUGGAAGUAAAAGCUUGAAUUCAAAUAAAUAAGGAACCGAAAAUUGGUAUAUUGCGUAUACGGCUUCUACAACAUAUAGCAUCAUUCACAAUAGUGGAAUUCAUAGCCCAAAUAAUAGGUAAAUGAUAUCCUCUCAUUGGUAUUACAUGAUAUAUGAAAAGGAAACGUGGCCACGAGUCAUUUGUCUUUGUGAUAAAUGACUUGAUUACUAUUUAAUAGUACUAGGGUGUAAUACCCCUAACCCCUAUCUGUCGCUGAAACAGGGUCACAGAGUAUUACCAGAGUUUACAGAUCAAUUACAAAAAAUUUCAUAUCAUUUACUAUUAAUAUCUGAAAUUUAUCAUAUCAUCUCUUAAAUGGGUCCUCGAGGCCCAAAAUACACGUUAGAAUCAAAUCAAGACUAAAUUGGAAACUCAAAAAAAUUUUCGUGAAAUUUUAAAAUUUAUCUUACGUACAAGGGACACAGCCUGUGUGGUCAGGCCAUGUGGCUCACAUGGCCAGGUGACACGCCUAUUUCUUAGGCCGUGUGGGUAUUCAAUGUGAAACACACGACUGUGUCCCAGCCCGUGUUCAAAUUAGGGUAGCUACUGAUGAUGAUGAUUUACUUAACUAACUAAAUUACGACAAAGGCAAGCGCACCUAUCGAGUAGUAGUACAGCUAUGGUGAGUCGGGGAUAUCAUAUCCACAAGGACUAAAAUUACUAGUAAUUACCUUUUUUCUAUUAUUUAGCCUAUAAAUUGAAGAAGUUUGUUUUAAAUCUAAAAUUAUCUAAACUAAUUAUUAAGAACUCGACAGAGAAUAAAGUAUGAAAAUAAUCCAAUUGACCAAUGAGAGAGACAAUACCCAGGAAAGAAUCCACUUAGACUUCACUUAUUAUUCUGAAUCUGAAUUAAACGAUUUAUUCACUUGCCUUGAUCCGUAAAAAUCCCUAAAUUAUAUUAAUAUUUAUUUCGAGAGUAAAAAUAACUGCCUUUAGGUUGAUUAAUUGAAAUCUCUUUCUAAUUAAAACCUCUAUUGUCGCAUUAACUCGAUCUAUGGAUUCCCCUAUUAGAUUUGACUCUAAUCCGGUAGAUUUAUGUCAUCCUAUUUCUAGGAUUGCAUGCAACUCCACUCAAUUAUGUCAGAUCUACUCUUAAACAGGGACUUUUGCUCCACUGAAUUAAGCACAUCAAUCAUGAAUUAAUAUCCUGAAAACAUUAAAACAUGGAAUAAGUACACAUAAUUGAGAUCAAGAAAUCAAUUAUUUAUCAUGUAAUUCAAAAAAUUAAAUAACAAGAUCCGUCAUAGGUUUCAUCUUCCCUAGGUAUUUAGGGAAUUUAGUUCAUACUUUGGGAGGAAAACAUUUCAAAUUUAGAAAAACUACAAAACAUAAAGAAACCCAAAAACUUCUUGAGAAGUUGACUGGGGAUCUUCAAUCUUGAAGGAGAUCUUGCUUCUGAGUUGAUUCCAAGGGUGUUCUUCGAGUAAUUUCUUCGUUCUUCUCUGUGUUCCCCCUUUAGGUCCUCUUUUAGUGUGUAAAUAGACUUUAAAAUGCUCAAAAUCCUUAAAAAUUGGCUUUUUCUUCGUGUUUGGGAAACAAGGAGUGAUAUUGACACAGGCUGGAACAUGGGCAUGUGGUCAGCCCGUGUGAUGUGCUUAGUCUGUGUGGGAAUGACCAGGCCGUGUAGAUCCUGAAAGUAGCUCGUUUUGUCUGAUUUUGUCCUAUUUUCUGCUCCUUUUGCCCCCCUAUGCUCUUCUAAGUAUAAAAACAUGAAAUUAAAGGAUUAAGAGCAUCAAAUUCACUAAAUUAUAUAAUAAAUCAUCCAAAAACAUGCCAAGCAUGGGAUUAGAACAUGUUACUUUUAUGGUUUAUCAACUAACUUGGAUCACACGGCCAGCCACACGCCUGUGUUCUAGGCCGUGUGGACAAUUUAAUUUUCAAAAAUAGGUGCAAGAUUCACACGGCCAAGACACAUGCCCAUGUGUUGGCCUUGUGUUUUACACGGUUGAGACACACGCUCGUGUCUCUGUCCGUGUGAUCAAUUCUGAGCAUUUUGUUUCUAAAAUUGUAAGAUGUAGGGGACACACUAUCAAACCACAUGCACAUACAUAUUGUAACGCCCCAAUUUUCUGGAAUUCUGUGAAUGUUGGCAUAGGUUUAAUUAUGUUUUUGGGCCUCUAGAAGGCCCAAGCUUAGGAUAGAACCCGGUAAUUUUAGUUAAUUUUUGUUCCAUAAGAAAAAGGGAGUGAAAUUAUGAAAUAGGACCUAUGUGAAAAUGUUUGAAAAUGCUAUAGGCUAAUUUGUAGUGGCCAAAUAAAUACGAGUGCAAAAUAGGAGGAUUUGCAUGUCAAACCUCCCAUUUUACAUGUAGUGGCUGGUCAUCAUGUUGUUGUAGACAAAAUGUGCACUUGAUAUCCAUAAUUUAUGGUACAAAUUGAUACAAAUUGAUAAUGGGUUAGGUAAAUGUUUCAUGAUAAUGGGUUAGGUAAAUGUUUCAUGAUAAUGGGUUAGGUAAAUGUUCCAUGAUAAUGGGUUAGGUAAAUGUUCCAUGAUGGGAAUUUCAUGUCUUUUGUGUUAAAGAAUUAAAUGGAUGAAAUAUGAAAUUUUAUUAAAAGAAAAAGGGGUGAAAAGAACAAAGUUUUGGUCCAUCUUUGUUCAUCAUAGCCGAAAGUUAGAGAAGAGAAAGGAGAGGAGAAAGUUCUUGAAUGUUCGGUCACUUGGGGAAGAAAAUUGAAGGUAAGUUCAUGGUAGUUUGCUUCUAUUUUGAGGUUCAUGAGUUCUUCUUGAUUCUACCUUAACUCUUGAAGCAUAUUUUGGUUUUUAGUUGUGUUGUGAGCAUUUAGUCAUGAAUUAAAAUGAAGGAAAUGGUUGUUGUUUCAUGUUCUUUUGAUGAAAAAUGAAAGAUAGGUGAAGUUGAGCCAAACAAAUGAGCAUGCAUGUGCCUUAGAUGCUAAAGGGAAAAAUCGGCUAACAUGUUGUGCUUUAAAAUGAUGAAAUGGAGAUUAUACUUAAGUAAAAUCAUAGAUAUGUGAUGAUUGAUUGGUGAUAUACAUGUUUAAAGAACAUGCAUGCAAGGUAUGUGUGAAAGAGUGAUUUGGUAAUAAAUCUGCUUGGGACAGCAACAGUAACGUGACUUUGGAAAAUCACCAUAAAUUGUGGGAGAUGAAUUAGAAGCUGAAUAAAUUAUGUAAUUAAAGCUUAUUGAGUCUAGUUUCUAAUGAAAUAAACAAGAACAUAUUUUGAAUUAUGUACAAUGAGAAAUUUGAUUCGUAAUGAAGAGUGGUCAGAUUAGUUAAACAGUGAAACAUGGGAAACUUUGAGAAAAAUCUGGUAUUGAUUGGCUAAACCAAAAAUUCUAAAAAUUUUAUGGAUAGAAGAUAUAUGAGUCGAUUUUCAGGGAAAAUUAACGGCACUUGAUUUGGAUUUUCGUAGCUCCAGUUAUAAAUGAUUUAGUGACUGUUGCUCAGGGAGGCAGCUUGCAGUGAAAUUAUGAUUAUGUGGUAAACACUGACAAAAAUUUGUUAAUGAGUUGCUUAUUGAUUUCUUAUAAGCUUACUCUGAUCUGUAGGUGUGGUUGGCCGAAUAUUGUAAGGGGUUAAUAUGUAGUUCGUAUUUGAAUAGUUAGAUUAACGUGUUAGUAAUCCAAUUGUAGGCGGUUCGUGUGUGGAUCUCGUCAGCAUAUCGUCGCAAACAGGUGUGUAACUAACACCCUCUUAUAGACUAGAUCGGCACAAGCCGAAAAGCCGAAAUGCCGAAAAGCCAGUAUUUUGAGAUCUUGCGAGUGUGUGAAUGCUCAUGAGAUUAAUAGUUUGAUGUAUAUGGUAAAUUAAAGUGAUAAGACUGCAGAGUGCGCGAUUCUGUGCAUUUCGAUAUUUUUGGGCUUAAUGGGCCAAAAACGGGAUAAUGGGCCAACGAGCCCAAAUUGGUAAGAAAAUGCGGUAAAUGUUUCUGAUUGUAUGUAAAUGGCUAUGUUAUGUAUGAAAACCUCAAGAAUAGUUAAAUUACUUGAAUACCCCUAUGUAUGCAAAAUUACCAUUAUACCCCUAGGGUUACUUUUGACUGAAAAGCAUGACGAUCUGAUUUUGUAUGAUGUAUGCCAUGAUUAUAUAUCUGUUGCAUGGGGACUUGGGUUAUACUAUGGAGGAAGUGUCCUGGUGGCUAUGCCACAAUUAUCUGAUCUGGUGGCUCUGCCGCAUAUAUCUGUCCUGGUGGUUAUGCCACAAUUAUCUGAUCUGGUGGCUCUGCCACAUAUAUCUGUUCUGGUGGCUCUGCCACAAUAUCUGUAUCUGGUGACUUCGUCACAAUAUCUGGCAGCCUCGCUGCGAUUUCUGUGGUGUGUAGCGGUUGGGUGGGUCGAGUAGUCUCCCCACAUGGUGUAAGGCUGGUACCGGGGUGUUAUGGAUGAAUCUGGGUUGGGUUUCUGCAUAAACAUGUAAUAUCUGUUCUGUUCUGUUAUGGGCCUAUGGGCUUUAUUUUGAAUUCUGUUCUGGGCUAAGGCCAACUUAUUCUGUUUCUGUGGUUUGAGCUGAUAUAGGCUAUGGUUGGGUUAAUUUACACACUGAGUUUCCCCAAACUCAUCCCUUUUAUUUUCAUCCACGCAGGUAAUCCCCAACCAUAGUGGGCUUGGAGCUGUGAGGGAAUUCGGAGUGGCCACCCAUUCUGAAAGUUUGAUUUUUUUCUGGUGAACUGGAUAUCCUUUUAUUUUCGUUUGAGGUUUUGGGUUUUUAAAUGUAAUAAGGCCGCUUAAUUAUUUUUGAUGGUUUUAAUAUGUGUUACUAAGAUAAGUAUUACUUAUUUUAAUUGUUGAAAUUGGAAAGCUUUAGGGCGCGUUUUCAAAUACAACAAUUGAUUUCAAAAUACCAUGACAACAAGCAAAGCUUCCACAAUGAAAGUAUUUUCCAAAAUUAAUCACUUUUCCUAAAAAAGACUUAAUCAAAUCAGUUACCUAGAAAUAGACAUGACGUUAAGUUGUGGCAAUGGUGGCAUGCAUGUCUAGGAUUGGAUCCGAAGGGAGCUUGGUACUUAAACAGUCUGAUGGACUCACCUCCUCUUUUCCGGUUUCCUACCUGGUGCACAGCUUCCAUUCACUUUAACCUAUAAUGAAAUUAUCUUUUAAAACACUAAGUAAGUUUUUCUGGAUCAACAAUAUAAAAUGUUUUGAACGCUUCGAUGUGGCAUGUCGGAUCCAGCCAUAACGUCUGGUUGGGUUUUGGGGUGUUACACAUAUGGCCGCGAGUCACACACGGUUGAGAUACACGCCCAUGUGCCUACCCAUGUGGACAAAAUAAGGCCAUUUCCAAGCCUUAUUUCUCACCUAAAUUUUGCCUUGUACGUACAUUAAUACUUGCAUACAUAUACCAACCAAUUCAAGAUGUUAAAACCAAGCCAACAUUAACAUUAUAUUUGAUAAAUCAUCACAUGUAUUCAAACUUAAAUUUUGAAAGACAUAUAUGUUUACCAUAAUUCAAUCAAAUCAUACCAAGCACACAUAUUUUAACCAUAUUAUAACCUCAAGUAUAUAUUCACUAAAUAUAUCAUUAUUAGCCAUUCCAAUGGCUAGAUUACAAACAACCAUUUACAUGAAAACAUUUAUCAAGUUAGCCUAUACAUGCCAUUGUACCAAAAUAAGUUUGCUAUUUAUACCAAACGUGCUGAAGGAUAGUGUGAUGAUGUUUCGAUCGAUUCCAACCUUUACGAGCUUUCGAGUACUAUAAAAUAGAGAAAAGAAAAAAAUGUAAGCAUUUAAUGCUUAGUAAGUUCGCAUAACAAGAAUUUAACUCACCAUACAUUUACAUUUAAGGUAAGCAUAUAAGAUGCUUCCAAGCAAUUUGGCUAAUUGUAAUAGCCCGAUUUUGGGCCUCGAAACAGUGGUUCCGAAACCACUAUUUCAGGGUCGAAGAAAUUAUUUUAAAUAUUAUUUUAUGUGUUAUAGCAUGAUUAUAUGAGUGCAUAAACAUUUUGGUGAAUUAAUUUUAGCGAUUGUGAGCUUAAUUUUGAAAAAUGACUAAAUCGCAUAAAGGGAAAAAUUUGUGAUUUUCUAGCUAAAUAUGUUAAAUUGCUAGAGAACCAUAAUUGGGGGUUUUUAAAGUGCAAAUAGACCCCUUUCACAAGCUUGGCCGACCAUAGAGACAAAUAGGAGUUGAGAAGUCAAAGUUAGGUGCCUUUUUUUGGUAAGAAAUAAAACAAAAAGAAAAAGUUGUCAUCCUUUCAUCUUUUUUUUCUUCUUCCACCAAAAAUGGCAGCAAGGAGGGGCUUGAAAAACUCAAAAUAUCAGCCACUUAUAUUCUUUUCAAGUAAGUGAUUUAGAUGCCUAUUUUUGAUAAUUUUUGUACUUUUGGAACCCUUGUAGCAUGAACUAGCUAAUGGGGGGACUAUUUUGUAAAAUGGUUGAUAGUCUAGGGAUUUACCAUGAAAGGAUUUAUGUUGUUUUCUGAAUUUUUAUGGAAGAAAAUGAGUCUUGGGUGUCUUAUAAACAACUUUUGUGAAAGGUGUUAGCAUGAAAACACCUAAAAAGACUAUAUUGCAUAAGUUGUAAAAUAGAUGUUAUGUAUGUGAAAUAGUGGGAAAUUGGAGUUGCUAUAAGAGUAAAAAGGGUUCGGAUAAGCUUAAGAUGUGAAGAAAUUCGAUAAAAAUCAAUUUUCGGACCUAGGGGUAAAAUGGUCAUUUUACAAAAGUCUAGGGGCAAAAUGGUCAUUUUGCCCAAAUAUAGGUUAUUGAAUACCUAGAUUGAUAAAGUGAUUAAAUUUGUGAACUUGUGUUAUUUUAGAUCAAGAAAAUCGAGAUUUGGGCUUAAAUCAAGAAAGUGUGUGGUUAAAGACAAAAAGAAAAUAAUUAGCCGAAAUUACAUUUGAGGUAAGCCCGUGUGAUUAAAUGACCGUGAUAUUUAUGCCAUUGUUAUUAUACUUGAAAAUCUAUCUUGUCAUGAUUGUAUUAAAGUGUAGGUUGAUGAUAUUGUAUAUGAAAAAGUGAUGUCAAAUGUAAAUAACAUUUAUGUGUUGAUUGAAUGCUUGGAGAUUUGAUGGAAUAUGAUAUUCCAUUGAAAUGAGUAAGUUGUAUGUAAAUAAGACAACUACAUUGUUAUUAUAUGUGUUUAAAUUGAUAUAGCAUGAAUUGCUUGGUUGUGGAAAUGAUUAUGUUUGAUGAAUAUUGAGAUAGUAGAAUUCCCGUUUGAACCUUAAGACACAAUUCGGAUAUUCAUGCCAUGACAUUCGGGUUAUUUGUGAGCCAAUGUAAGACCAUGUCUGGGACAUGGAAUCGGCAUUGAGAUGAGAGCUAGUGUAAUACAUGUCUGGGACAUGCAUCGGCCUCGAGUUGUAAGCCAGUGUAAGACAUGUCUGGGACAUGUAUUGGCUACGAGAUGUGUCAGUGUAAGACCAUGUCUGGGACAUGGCAUCGGCACAGAUGUGUGAGAGCUAGGGUAAGACCAUGUUUGGGACAUGGCGUCAGCCUCGAUUUCGAUAGUCAGUGUAAUACCAUGUCUGGGACAUGACAUCGACUUAAUGGAUGAGCUAGUGUAAGACCAUGUUUGGUACAUGACAUCGGCAUUAUACCCUAUGUUUGAGGCUUAGUGAAUAUCCGAUAGCUUUCCGAAUGGUUCAACGGUGAGAGUUAUGGUUUAAGCUAAAUGAGAAAGGUUAUGACCAUAUUGUGAGUGGUACAGGUACUUACAUGAAAUUGAUGGGAUGUGAAUUCAAUUCAUGUUAUAUGAUUAGUAAGAAAUGAAAAUGAGCAUGUUGAGUAAUACAGGUAUGUAUGCCAAGCUCAUGAGAAAUGAUUUCAGUUUACAAUACACCUUUAGUGAAGAUGUAAAUAGGUAAUUCAUGCUUAUGAGAAUGAUUUUGUGAUGACCUUGUGAUUAUAGGUCUAUACUUAUGAUGUAUGAAUAUGUAACCUUACCAAUGUGGUGAAAGUGAAUUAAUAUGGUGUGAUAAACUAGUAUCGUUAAUUUACACAAAAACAGUUUUGGACAGUAGCCAUAGUCCAAAUUUGAAAAUCCACAAAAAAUUGUGGAAAUUGAUUUAGAGGCUGAAUAAAAUAUGAAAUUAAAUCCUAUUGAGUCUAAUUUCACAUAGAAGAAAUGGUGUAAGUAAAAGAGUUUCAUAUUAUGAAAUAUUUAAAUUGUUGUGAGACAGAGUCAGAAUGACUUCGAAAAUCCCCUAUUCUGAUUUGAAAAAAUCAUUGAAAAUUGUAAAAAAAUAUUUAUGACUUAUAAUUUAUAUUAUUAUAAUUCUUAAUGAGUAAUUUUCAAGAUAAAUAGACGAUAACAUCAUCUUAGUCCCGUAUUAUGAGAUAAUUAAUUUUUAGUAAAGAGGGGUUAGAACUGUCAGACAACGAAAAAGGGUAACUUUGAGGAAUAAAAUAUACUAAUUGGCUAAACCAAAAAUUCUAAAAAUUUUAUGGUAAGAAGAUAUGUGAGUCUAGUUUCAGGAAAAAUUAGCAUAACUUAAUUUGGAGUUCUGUAGCUCCAGAUAUAAAUAAUUUAGUGAAUCUGACUUGAGAAAAUAGUUUGACUGGAACAUGAGUAAAAAAUGCGAAUAGGGUUGUAUUACCAUCAAAAGAAAAUUGAUAAAUUGCUUAUUAUUUUCAUACGGUCUUGCUAAGCUAUAAAGCUUACUCCCUUCCUUUCCUUUCCUUUAGUGUUUUCAGGUUAGCUCGGAGUUGGAGAUCGUCGGAGGCAGCAUCACACUAUAAAGUCGCUACCUUUGGAAUAAUGAAGUAUAUAUUAGAAAUUUCAAGUGAGUGGCUUGUAUAGAGAUGUAGUUGAUUGACAUGUAUUAUUUUUCUUUGGCCAAAUGUAUUGGUUUAAAUUGAGUUUUAUGUAUAUGGCCAUGAGAUGUGGGUCAUAUUGAUUAUGGCUUGUAAGCCUAGCUAUUUAUGUCAUGUCUAGUUUUUAUAAUGUGAUUAUGUUUGUUUGCCAUGCAUGGUUAGUAAUAUGACAUGUGUGUUGGAUGUAUGCUCUAUGACCAAUUGAGGUGUUCAUAGCCAUGUAGUAAUUGCAUGUUAUAUACACAACGUGAUAAUGAUUGAACAUUAGUGCUUGAUGGAUAAGUUGGUAACCGUAGUAUAAUGGUAAAAGUGAUCAUCAAAAUGACAAGUCUUAUGAAAGUGAAAUAAGGAAUCUAGACUUGGCAUUGCAUGAGUAUAUGCAUUACUUGUAAGAGGACAUGUUAAUGUUAAGGAUAUAUCUUAAUAAAGAAUGUUUAAUCAUUAAAAUGAUGCCAUGAUUUGCGAUUUUGAUGUACAUAAGGUUGUAAGAGAUUAUGGGUAACAUGAAAGCUUGGAAAAUAGCCGAAGUGUUGGCCAUAUGGGCUGAGACACGGCCGUGUGUCUCAACCGUGUUAGAGACACAGCCUGGAGACACGGGCGUGUGGCCCGGCCGUGUGGUUCGAUGUACAUGCUGAUGUCAUAAACAGAGAGUUACAUGGUCUGAGGACACGGGCGUGCCAAAGGUACACAGGCAUGUCCCUAUGUCCACACGGGCGUGUGACCUUGUUUUGUGGGAAAAUUUCCUAAGUUUUUUUGAAACUUUUAAAAGUUCUCGGUUUAGUCCCGAAUCAAUUCCGAUGAAUGUUUUGGGCUUCGUAGACCCAAAUAAGGGAUGACAUGCAUGUGUUUGAAAGGUUUUGAAUUAAAAGAGAUUUUAUGGCCCGAUUUUUGCAUGAAUGUAUAUGUUUAAGUCCAGUAAUGUCUCGUACCCUGUUCUGGCGUUGGACAUGGGUAAGGUGUGUUACACUAAUAGCCUAAAACACACAACUUCAUCAAACAUGUUAGUCAUUAUUCCACAUAAAUUUCAAGAAUCAAAGAUGAGCUCAUCAUAGUAUAACUUUCAUAUACAUAUGCUUUUCAUAUCAUAUUUCCAUUUAACAUGUACAUUUCCAUACACAUAUAUCUUUCAUCCCAUAUUUCAAUUUGUCAAAUAUCAUCACUUUCAUGUAUUUCAGGUAUAAACGGGUAAUAAUUCAUUUUGAACUCAUAUUUUCUCAUGUUAGGAUUUUUCCCAUUGAAUUAUUGAAAAUAUCGAUAGAUACAUAGGUAGUACAAACAAGGUGUACAAAACUGUAAUCUAUCAAAUCAUAUUCUGGGGUACCCAUUAGGGCACAUAAUUAGGAAACACUCUCUCGAGCCAUAUAAUAGGAUGCUCAUGUGAGCCAUGUAACAUGAAGCUUAUCCGGGCUAAAUCAAGAAACUCAUAAGAGUUUAGAAUAGGAAGCUCAUUGAGCUUAACAGGUAACUCUGAAAAGCUAUUAUUAGGGAACUCUGGAUAGCCAUAUAAUAGGAUGUUCAAGCGAGCCAUAUUAGAAAGCUCAAGAAGAGCCUAGAUUAGAACGCUCAUAAAGAGCUGUGUUUGUGUCCACAAUAUAUGCAGGAUCACAACCGAUCAUAUAAUAAGAUGCUCACAAAGAUUUGUGGUAUGUCCGCAACAUAUGCAGGAUCAAUACCGAUCAGGAUGCUCACAGGAACCAUGUAACGGGAAACUCGAGAGGGCUUAUAACAGGAUGCUCUUUCAAGUUAAGGUGUAUCUACAACAUAUGCAAGACCACAACCAAUCAGGAAGACUUGUAUCCAUCAAAUUCCAUCUAUUCAAGAGGGACUUAUUAUUUAUCGGGCAUAAUCGGACAUGUGAUCAAUUUCAUAUAUAAUGCAUUCAUACAAUUCACAUAUACCACACUCAAAUCAAACAUAUAUAAUACACACAAUUUAGUUACACGAACUUACCUAGAUAAACGUUCGUAUACAAAGAUCUACUAAUCUGAUACUUUUUGUUUUCCUCGAUCCAGCUCUGUACUAGGUCUAUCCGGAUCUAUAUAAAUGAAUUUAACAUCAAUUUAAUCCAUUUCAUACUCAAUUUAAUUCAAAUCAAACCCUAGGCAAAAUUACCAUUUGUGCAAUUUAAUCCAUAUUCCAAGUCUAAUCGAUUUUUACAUAUAACAUUUACAGCACAUAUAUUUCAUAAAAAUCAGAAAUUUUCCAUGGAUUUUUUAUCUUUACAAUUUAGUUCCUAAAGCAUAAGUUCAUGAAAAUUCACUUUACAAAAGUUGUUUAUCUAUCAACAACCUUUCAUUUUCUAUUAUAAAUUUCAAAAUUUCAGCAUAUUCAUCCACGGAAAAAUUUCAAUACUUUAAUAUCUUUUCAAAUUGAUUCCCAAAAUAGAUAGAUUAGGUUAUUCCGAUCUCAAAAAUAUAAAAAUUACUAAAAACGGGACAUGAUUACUUGCCUAAUUAAGCUUGCUUGAUUUUCUUUCUCUUUCUUAGGGUUUUCAUAAAAUUUGGGGAAGAAGAUGAUAUAAAAUGAUGAUAUUUGAUAUUUAUUUUAUGUAUCAUCUUUUAUUUAUUUCAAUUUCUAAUUUAGUCCUUUUUUUUCUAAUUUUCCAUGGAUGAAUCAUCAAAAAUAUCUAUUAAAUUUUUAAUGGUCUAAUUACUAUAUAAGGACCUCAAGUUUUGAAUUCCAUAACUAUUUGAUACUUAUAGCUACUAUAACUCAACUUUUGUAUUUUAUGCAAUUUGGUCCUUUCUAUUAUUAAACAUGAAAUCGAUAAAAUUUUCUUAUCAAAUUUUUCAUAAGUCUUUCCUAUCAUGAUGCAGACCAUGCAAUAAUUUUAAAAUAAAUUUUCUUUCUGACUCGGAUUUGUGGUCCCGAAACUAUUGUUCCGAUUUCAUUGAAAACGGACUGUUACAUAGGGACUGCAAACCCUAGUGUAUUUAAAUAGGGUUGUCGCCCUGUCCCCCCAAUCCUAGUUAGACUAGGAUUAUGUUUUUCUAUUGAAAUAGACUUCUAAUAAUUCAACAAGGGUUUCAUUUCUUCUCCCUAUAAAUAGAUGGAAACGGUAAGGCUAAAUACAGAACUUUGAGAUAUUGUUAUUCUGCCCGAAAAUAGUGAGAAUUUAUUUUCUAAGUAUAAAUUCUAUAUUCUAGAAUGCAAUUCUACUAGUUUUUAUUAAAGAGAGAUUUUCUUUUCCACUAAAAGUAAAGUAAAUGAUUUCUGGUUCUGUGCUUGAUUUGAAUUUGUUCAAGCCUACAAUCAAAGUAGCUUGUGGUACAGGAAUAACAAAGAAGGUCAUUCAGUUGAAAGCCAAGAACGAUAAGGAUCCGUUUGGUCGAAAACACAGGUGUGAUUUUUGUAAAGCUUUUAUUGAUAUAAAUAUAAAAAAUCGACUUGAUUUUCAAAAAUUAAAUUUUUCGCUGUGCAAGAAAACUAUUUUCAAAUAAAUUUUUUUUCAAAUAUUCAUAUUAACCAAGAAAGAAUAACUAUACUUGUUAAAGAUGAUACCUUAAGUUUGCUUAAGGAAAUUGAUAUUCCACAAUGUGAAUCUUGCUUCGAAGGUAAGAUGACUAAGUGAUCUUUUAAUGCAAAAGGAAUGAGGGUUGUCAAUGUAACAACCCAUUUUUCAGUGAAAUCGGAACAGUGGUUUUGAGACCACAAAUCUGAUCCGAAAAUAAAUUUUAUUUUUAUUUUAUUACGAGGUCUGUAAUAUGUUAGAAAGGUCAUGUUAAAAUUUUGAUAAGAAAAUUUUAUUGAUUAUGUGCUUAAUUACGAGAAGGACUAUAUCGUAUAAAAUGCAAAAGUUGAAUUCUAGUAGCUACAAGGAUUAAAUAGCUAUGGAAUUCAAAACUUAAGAUCCUCAUAUGGUAAUUCGACCAUUAAAGAAAAGUAUGUAGAUAUUUUGGUGACUCAUCCAUGGAAAUUUAGAAAAAGGGCAAGGACUAAAUUAGAAUUUGAAAUAAUUUAAUUAAUUAAAAAGAUGAUAAAAGAUAUCAUCUUAAUUUUUAUGUCAUAUUCAACCUAAGAAACCCUAAGAGAGAGAGAGAAGAAACUUUCAUGGCUUAAUUGGGUAAGUUUCCUUGUCCCAUUUUUAGUAAUUUUGAUAUUUUUGAAACUGGGAUAGCUUAAUCUAUCUAUUUGAGGGAUCAAUUUGAAACUUUCAUGGCUUAAUUGGGUAAGUUUCCUCGUCCCGUUUUUAGUAAUUUUGAUAUUUUUGAAACUGAGAUAGCUUAAUCUAUCUAUUUGAGGGAUCAAUUUGAAGAGUUAACAAAGAAUGAAAAUUGGGCCAUCGAUAAAUAUGCUGAAAAUUCAAAAUUUAUGGUAGAAAAUGAAAGGUUGUUGAUGAAAACAUGAUUUAUGCACUAAAGUGUAAAAUUGAUGAAAAUUCUGAAAUUUAUAGAAAAUAUGUUCUUUAAAUUCUAUAUUAAAAUUUUGGUUAGGCUUGGAAUAGGGAGUAAAUUGCAUAAAGUUUAUUUUCCGAGCCUAGGGAUUUAAUUUGAAUUUAUGGAAAAGUUAGGGGCAAAAUGGUAAUUUUUCCUAGGAUAUAAAUUGAGUCCAAAUGAAUAUGAAAUGUGGGAAAUUCAUGAUUAAAGUUAUUUAUAUAGAUCUGGACAACUGAAAUUCGAGGUUAAAUCGAGGAAAAGAAAAAUGUUUCGAAAUAGUAGAUUUUAUACGUGAAGAAGUGUCGAGGUAAGUUUGUGUAACUUAAUCGAGCAUGUAAAUAUGUUAACUUGAAUGUUAUGAGUGUAUGCAGUAUGAUUUAUAAUUAUGUGAAUGUUAUAAAUGUGUGAAUGAAUAUAUGUUCGAAAAUGUUAGAAAAAGGGGUAAAGUCUCGUUUGAAUAUUGAAUUUCGGUGGAUAAAUGUGAUUGCCUUAUAAAAUGAUGUGUUGCAUUUGUUGCUUAUGAGAUUUAGCUCGGACGAGUAAUCUUAUUAAUCUCAUUAUAGAAAGGAUUUAGCUCGGACGGGUAAUCCUGAUAUAAUUCCUCUCGAGCAUAUUUAGGAUUUAGCCUAGACUAGCAAUCUUGUAAUACGAUAUGUGGCUUGAGAGUGUGUUCUUGAUUAAAUUCCCUAAUGGGUACUCUUGAAUAAGAAUUGACAGGUUAUUAAAUUGUACACCUUGAGUGUACUACUCGAGUAUCCAUCAAAAAGUUAAUGAUUCAACGGGCAAAACUCUUGGCAUGAUGAGAGAAUUAUGAGAUGAAAUGAUAAUGUCUUGAAAGAAUAUUGCAUGAUGAGCUCAUCUAUGUUUACUUGAUGUAUAUGAAAAUUUUGUGACUAACAUGUUUGGUUGAAUGCAUGUGUUUAGGCAAUUUUUCCAAGUUGAUGGAAAACAUGAUUUUGUAUGCUUAGAUUUAAUAAACGGGAUUGGUAAGUUUAGUUUCUGUUAUACGAACUUACUAAGCAUAUAAUGCUUACUCCGUUUUAUUUUCCCUUGUUUUAUAGUGCUCGGAAGCUCGCGAAGGUUGGAGGUCAUUGGAGCAUCAUCACACUAACCACUAGCUUAUUUUGGAUAUAUAUAGAAAAAAAAUCAUUUUGGUAUAAUGGCAUGUAUAGGCUAACUUGGCCAUAGAUGGCUUGAAUAUGUGGUUUGUAAUCUAGCCAUUGGAAUGACUAGUAAUGGUUGUUUUGAUAUACUUGUAAUGUCAUACUAUGGUAGCUAGAUACAUGUUAAAUGGUUGUUCAAGUUUUGCCUAUCAUAUGAAAUAUACCAAGGUAAGAUUAUAAACAUGUAUGCAUGUAAUGAUAUACCAUGUUGAAUGAUAGAGUUUGCUUAAUUUGAAUGCUUGAAUUGGUUAGCAAUUGGAUGUGAGUUUAAGUAUAGGUCAUUGGUGUGAUUUUGGGUGAGAAAUGAAGAUAGAAAUGGCUUUAUUUUGUCCACACUGGUAGACACACGGGCGUGUGUCUAUACCGUGUGUGACAGACGGCCUGGUAUAUAGGCGUUUGAUUAGGCCGUGUGUCCCCUGCACCUUUAACUCGAAAAAAAAUGCUCAAAAUUGAGCACACGGGCAGAGACACGGGCAUGUGUCUCAGUCGUGUGUGCUACACGGCCUAGAACACGAGCAUGUGUCUUGACCGUGUGAAACCUGCACCUAAUUUCGAAAGAAUUUAAUUAACCACAUGGCCUAGCACACGGGUGCGUGGCAUGGUCGUGUACACAAGUCAGAGAGUUACACGGGGUCGAACAUGACCUGUAGUACGGGCGUGUCCCUUGGACCACACGGGCGUGUGAGCCCUGCACUUUGGAAAAUUUUUUAGAUAUCGCUAAAAUUUCUUAGGGUUUCCGAUUAAGUCCCGAUUCAAUUUUAAUGCUCAUAUUGGGCCACGAGGGUCUAUUUCAGGGACGAUAUGAAUAAUCUCGGUUAGUGAAUAGUAAAUUACGUGAAUUAUCUAAAAAAAUAUUCUAAAAAUUUUGAUAAUGCUCCGUAACUUUGUUCCGGCGACGGAUACGGGUUAGGGGUGUUACAGUCAAACUCUUAGAGCUUAUGCACACUCAUAUAUGUGGCCCCAAGAACGUCAAUGUGCAAGGUGAUUACAAUUAUUACAUAACCUUUAUAAAUGACUAUUCCAGAUAUGAAUAUGUAUACCUAAAGCACCGUAAAAGUGAAACUUUUGAUAAAUCAAAAGAGUUUCGUGCAGAAGUGGAGAAACUAGUAGGUUUACCCAUAAAGAUACUUCAGUUUAAUCAAGGUGAGGAAUACUUAUCGGAUAAGUUCUUAGGUUACCUCGUAGAGAAUGGAAUAUUAUCCCAAUUAACCGCGCUAGGAAUUACACAACAAAAUGACAUGGCAGAGAAAAGGAAUCGAACCUUGUUGGACAUAGUUUAAUUGAUGUUAAGUUAUUCAUAGCUUCAAGUCUCUUUUUGGAGAUAUUUUUUACAAAUGACUUGUUACAUUUUGAAUGAUGUACCAAAUAAGUUCAUACCUAAAACUCCAUACUAAUUAUGGAAUGGCAUGAAGCCAAGUCUAAAUCAUUUAAGGAUUUGCCGAUGGCCAGCCCACGUGUUGGAUAAAGAUAUGAGGAAAUUGGAUUCACAGAUAGAGUUGUGUAUGUUUGUGAGUUAUCCAAAAGGAAUAAAGGGUGGUUUGUUUUAUAACUCAAAAUAGCAAAUACUGAUAGUGUCCACUCAUGCUACCUUCAUUGAAGAGAGUUACAUGAACGACUUUAAAUCUUAAAGUAAAGAAGUACUUGAGAAAAUUUUGGGAAGUACAUAAAUCCUUGGUCUCGGAUCAAACUCUUAAUAAUAGAUUUACAAACAAUCAUCAACAUAAGGAGCUUCGUUGUAGUGAGAGGGUUUCUCGUACGCCCGAGUUCUUCUAGUCUGGCAGAAGUGUUUUAAACAUUGAGUUUUCUGAACAGGAAGAUGAUGACCAACCUACAUUUAAAAAACGAUGCAGAGUGUUGAUUCCAAGCUUUGGGAAAUAGCUAUAAAAGCUAAGAUGAAUUCUAUGAAAUCCAGCUAAGUGAUAUACAAGAAGAAAAGAAAUGCGAAUGGAAAAGUGGAAACUUAUAAGGCUAGACUUGUAUCAAUUACGAAGAAGCCUUCUUUUUGGUUGCCAUACUCAACUCAAUCUGCAUAUUGUUAUCCAUUGUGGUGACUCUUAAUUAUGGAUCUGUCAAAUGGAUACCAAGACAAUGUUCUUGAAUGACUAUCUUGAAGAGAGCACCUAUAUGAUGCAACCCACCCUAUAUAUAACUAAAGGAAAUUAGCAUAAAAUUUACAAAUUGCUUAGAUUUCAUAUAUGGACUUAAGUGAGCAUCCCACUCAUGGAAUCAAAUAUUUGAUCAAAACUUUUGAAUUUGAGCAAAAUAUUGAUAAACCUUCUAUUUAUAAACGUAUUAAGGAUGGAAAUGUGGUCUUUCUUAUUGUAUAUGUCGAUGACAUUCUACUCAUUGGAAAUGAUUUAAGUACAUUGUCAUCGGUUAAAUUGUGAUUAACCCAACAGUUUAGCAUGAAAGACUUAAGAAAAGCUAUCUUUGUUCUAAGCAUUUGAAUCGUAAGGGAUAGAAAGAAUAAAGUGAUAGCAUUAUCACUAAGAAUAUACAUAGACAAGAUAUUGAAAAUUUAUGCAAUAACCGAUUCAAAAUUUAGUCAUUAUACUAUAGUGGAAUAACUUCACGACUAAAGAAGUUUAUAAUUAAUAGGCGAAAAGUUGGACAUUGAUUAUAAAUUAUUUGAGCCCUUAUUAUGUAUGUACAAUUGGUCCCCCCACUAGCUCGUUGAAACAAAAAAUGAAUUGCAUGUGGAAGAAAAUGAAUACAAAUGAAUAUAAAUGAUAAAGUCGGAGAAAUAGGUCACAUUAACAAAUUAAUUUGUUUUCUCACCAGGUAUAGAAAUGACUUGAGAAAAUAAUUUAAGGUUUUUGAAUGAUUAUUUAAUUAAUUAUAAUUAAAUAAUUAAAGUUAAAAAAAUGAAAUUAAAUUAAUUUUCCAUUAUGAAUCCUUUGAAUAAUGAAAUUAAAUAUAUUUCCUCAUAAAAUAUUUUACAAUAAAGUUGUUAUAAUUUUAAUGGAAUUAGAAUUGAGUUGACAUAAUUAUUUAAUUGGGUAAUUAAUUUAGUUAAUUAAAUUAAUUAAUUAAUUAAUAUUUAUUUUUGAAAAUAGAAAAUAAACAUUAGGUUUGAUUAAUUUAUAAAAUGCUAGGUUAAAAGUUUAGGAAACUCAUAUAAUUGAACCCAAUACAUGAUAGGCCAAAUUUGUCCCGUAUAACAUGUGAGCAGCAGCAACCCAAAGGGAAUUUAAGAGAGUGGUUGCCUCCUCUCUCUUAGUUAGAUUAAGGGAGUGUUUUCUAUUAAAAUAAUUGUUGAGUAUGACUCCUAUUUCAGUCAAAUUUGAGAAAUAAUAUUCCAGUUAAAUUCUGUUUAUUUGUUUCAAUCAAACACUGAUUAGUCUAGAUUAUUUUAUUAUUAUUUGACCUAUGAAUUUAGCCUAUAAAUAGACUCUUUUACAACUUUAGAAAAUACAUCCAUUAGAGAUUAGAACUCAUAACACUUUUGGAGAAUAUUUGUGUUUAUGUUUUGAAGGUUCUUUGUUUUUUGGGGUUUCGGGGUUUAGUUUUUAUCUCCAUCUUUGUACUCUUCGUUCUUUUGCCAUUAUAGUAAAAUUAUCUUUACCCGUGGUUUUUUAUCCUCUUUGGAAGGGUUUUUCCACGUUAAAUUUGUGUGUUCAAUUUUUCAAUUUCUUCCGCUAUUUUUACUUGUUUGUUGCUUAAUUAGGUCGAUCGCCAAUAGUAACAUUAUUUGUUUAAGCCUUAUUCAACCAAGAUUCUUCUAUUUCUCCCUAUAAAUAGAUAGCACCGAUUAACUUAAAAAACACAUUUAUUGGUUAUUGAUUUAUCAUUAUUCUACCAAAAAAAUAGUGAUAAUUUAUUCACUUAAAAUAAAUUAUAUUUUCUGGGAAUUACGAUUUUUAUUAGUUUCUUGAGAGAAUUAUUUUGCUACUGAAAGUAAUAAUAAUUUCUUGUUCUUUGUUUGGUUCAUGUUUCUCGAGCCCACACUCAACCUAAAUCCAUCUUGCACAAUGUACAGGUACUUUUCGGUAAAACGGUUAUUGCUAUAAAUAUCACAAAUCGGUUCAUUUUUUAAAAUUUUUAAACUUCUGCUAUAACUAUAAAUCGUUAUGAUGGAUUUUGACAAACCACAUUUUUAAGUGGGACUGUGUGCAUUAAAUCAAAUAAAAUUAUGAAAAAUUUUGAAAAACCACAUUUUUAAGUGGAAUUGGAAAAAGGAAAUUGAGCUACUAAGAUCCCCUUUUGAAAUUACUUAUAGAUUAUGAAAUUCUUUAAUAUAUUUACCCAAAUAAAUAAGUUCAUUUUUAGAAAUUUAAAAAUCUUAAUAAAAAUAAAAUCCCUCCUAUAAAUCCCUCACCCAAAACACACUUUUAAAUACCUAUGCAAGUUGAGAAGCAAAUGAUGACAAAGACUAUUCACUAACAAAUGAUCCAUUAGAAUGACUGACCGGCAUUACGCCUGUGCGUAUAAAACAAAAAAUUUAUAAAAUAAUUUUUAUAGCACGGUUUUACUACAAGCAUGUAGGUCAGUUGUAAUAUUUGUAGUGUUACAAUGGAACACCAACGUAUUCCAAGGAUCGAACCCAAAGGAGUUGGUGACUUAGUGAUCUGCCACAAAUUAUUGACCGCCGCCGGACGUACUAACGUCUAGAGUGUGAAUAUUAUAGCAAAAGAUAUAUAUAUAAAUGAUAAGGUAUCUACAAGUAUACGGGUCGGGUUGUAAUAUAGCUACAACGAAAUAGGUAAGUAUUUUGAGGAUCGUACCCAAAGGAGGCUAGUACUAGCUCAAUUUCAACCUAAACACCAAAAGAUCUAAUUAGUACUUGAAAUAGGUUAUAUUAUGAAAAUAUAAGUAAUAGAGAUUUUUGGGGGUUUUUUAUAAUAAUGAAAAUAUGACAAGUAAUUAAGUAUCGAGAAAUUGAAAAGUGAAAUUAAUCAAAUCUGAUUAUGGGUGAUUAGCUCGCUUCGGUAAUCUUCAUCAACUGCUGCUUCAAGUUCCUCGUCAAUCAACUAGUUGAUAUCCUAGCAGGAUCUUUUGAUACAUCCGCUAGAAUAACAAGUUAGCAAGGACUACUUAUCUUCCGACCUCACAGUUCAUAUCGGUUUGGGGUGAAGGUGUUCACGGAUAGGCCAUACCAAUUUUAGGUUAAUUUCCACCUUGAUAACUUCCUAAGGUUAUCAAGCCUAGGUUUUUGGUUCUUCCUUUCCCAAAUAGCUGAUCCGUUGAGUAACCCUACAAAACAGUUAAUAGAUUAUAUCUCCACUCGUUAAUCCCCUAUAAAAAGAUUAGUUCCUCAUGGUUGUCGUAAACAAUAUAAAGUUAAUAUAAAGCAUAAACAUGAUAAUUGAAUCGAAAGUAUAAAGUUUAAGAAAAAGCCUGAUUUGUAUUACAAAGAAGAAUAAAUCUAAAAAGUUUAAUCUUAUCCACAAGCCAUAUUUCCCAAGGUAAAAAAAGAACAAGCUAAAAUAAAUCUAAAACCUAAAGAAAAGAGAAAUACUAAACUAAAAAUAAAAAAGUGAGAUUCUAAGCUAAGUAAUCAGUGUCUAUAACAUGUGCCAAAUGAGCCUAAUUAGAGAUUUGAGGUGAUCGUCGUCCUUAACCCUACGUUAAUUGACAUUCCUGAACUUUAAGUUGGAUUGUGCAGACCAAAAUGCCCCUUAGCUCGUAUUAAUUCUCGUCUAGAGUCGAUGUUGUGACACAUCAGGACUUGUAUCGAGACAUAAAAUUCAGUAUACUUUUCUUUAAGGUAUCUUCAGGGGUAUGUCACGACACCCUUAGGCUAUGUCGUGACAUCAAAGGCAGUCUCAGAAUUCUUCUACUCUGUUUUCUAUGCUGCGACAUCGAAUCCUUCGUGUUGCGACAUAGUGACCAAUAUCGGUUUAGCACGCCUUCUAAUCGUCUCCUGUAUACUCAUAAAGUUAACCUUUAGACCUCAUUCGGCCCCUAAGUUCAUUAAAAGACUCAAUUUUCACAUUUUAUUGAAUUUAAUUAAACUUACUAAAACAUAAUUAAAAUCUAAUGAUAAUACUUAUUUUCAAGCUCUUAAAGUGAAAAAAUUAGUUUAAUUGCUACACCUAAUUAUGACAGAUCAAUUAUAUUAUUACUUACAUCACUUUUUACACAUAAUUUUAGCUUUUUUAAUAGUAAAUCAAAUUAUCUUAGUAUAUAUUUGUGUUUUCAUACUUGAAGUAAUGAUGUAUGCUUUUUAGUAGUUUUUAUUACAUUUUAGAUAUAUAAAUAUGGUUACAUGUUUGUAACACCCCUUACCCGUAUCCGAUGCCGGGAUAGGGUUCGAGGCGUCUGGGCCACAAAAUUUUUUCCCAAAAUUAAAACAUCUCAAACACAUGCAUUUCGUCCCUUAUACAGGCUUUUGAAGCCUAUAACAUACAUCGGGGAGGUCCGGGACUAAACUGAGAACUUUGAAAUCUUUGGGCAACUUAACCAAUUUUCUUGCUUUGGAGAGUCACAUCCCCGUGUGGGUUGGGCCAUGUGGUCACACACGCCCAUGUGGCUUCGGACACGCUCGUGUCCUCAGCCCGUGUAACUCUCUGUUUAUGACAUCAACCAAACAAAUUGAUCCACAUGGUCAAGCCACACACCCGUGUGCUUGACUGUGUCCUCCACACAGCUGAGACACACGGUUGUGUCUCUGCCCGUGUGGUCAACACUUAGGCUAUUUUCUAAUCCUUAUGUUGUCCUUAAUUCUUUCUCAUCCUUUACACAGCAUGGACCUAAGUUAUUGCAACCAAUUAUAAUCACACGUCAUACAUUAACCCAUAGCAGGAAUAAUUAGGCCUACAAGCCAUAACCAUAAUAACCCACAUCUCAUGGCUAUAUACAAUCGAUCAAUAUAAACCGAUACAUUUGGCUAAUCAUAACAACGACUAAUAUAAAAACUAGUCCUUAUACAUGCCACUCACUUGAAAGUGUUUAAUACACGUAUGACAAUACUCCAGAGUCGAUAGCUUGCUAGUGUGAUGCUACCUCCGACAAUCUCCAACCCCGAGCUGACCUGACAAAACUAAAAGAAAUGGGAAAGGAGGGAGUAAGCUUUACGCUUAGUAAGCUCGCAUGAAAAUAAUAAGCAAUGUGAUAACAUGCUAUUUUUAUAUUCUUUCUAUUUAUUCAAAUUCCAGCUAAGCUGUUUUCUUGAGUCAUAGUCAUUAAAUUAUUUAUAUCCAGAGUUACAAGACUCCAAAUCAAGAUACAUUAAUUUUCUCAGAAACUAGACUCAUACUCUUCUUACCAUAAAAUUUUCAGAAUUUUUGGUCAAUCCAAUAAAUUCAUUUUAUUAAUCAAAUUCUCCCCUGUUUCACUGUUUGAUAGCUUCUACCUUUCUUUACUAAAAUUUAUUUAUCUCAUAGUACGAGACUCAGAUAAUGUUCUUGUAUCUUUUUCAUGAAAGCAUACUCACUAAGGAUUUUAUUCAUAUGACUCAUAACUCACAAUUAUUUUUGUAAAAUUUCUAGUGAUUUUCCAAAGUCAGAACAGGGGAUUCCGAACUCAUUCUGACUCUGUCUCACAAAAAUUCAUAUAUCUCGUAAUAAAAAAUUCUUUUUCUUACACCGUUUCCUUUAUCUGAAACUAGACUCAUUAAGCUUUAAUUUCAUAUAUUAAUCAGCCUCUAAUUCAACUUCCACCAUUUAUGGUGAUAUUUCAAAUUCGGGCUACUGCUGCUGUCAAAAACUAUCUUAGUACAACAUAAUGAUAAUCAUCCCAAGUUUGUCAUAGAAAUUAUUCUUAUAAUUAUCACUCAUUCAUUUGCACUCUUAUCACAAGUCCAUUUCAUUUCACAUGUCAAACACAUGCUCAUGGGUUUCGAGUAUGUUCCUGUGCUAUCUCUUAGCACAACCACUCAUCCAAACAGGACAAUCAUAUGCAUGAUACUAGUAUCAACUAAGCAUAAAUGAGUUUAUCAUGCUGUUUUUCUUUAUAUCACUAUGUAUGUCAUUACUGCUGAAUUAUUAAAUUUUUGAUAGACCUUUCCUUUUCCAGUUGUACACUCGAGGUGUACGUUUCUUUCUGAGUGGUACAUACAAAACAUACCUUUCCUUUUCAUAUGGUAUACACAAAGUAUACCUAACCUUUCCAAGUGUACACACAAAGUGUACAUAACCUUUUCAAGUGUACACAUAUAGUGUACCUUUCCUUUUCAAGUGGUAUACACAAAGUAUACCUUUCCUUUUCAUAUGGUAUACACAAAGUAUACCCUUCCUUUUCAAGUGUACACACAAGGUGUACAUAACCUUUUCAAAGUGUACCGUUUGGGUACAUAAGUCCUUUUCAAGUAUUAACCCUUUUGUGAUACAUUUCCUUUUCAUAAUGAGAUCAAAAGAUUACCCUUUAGGGACAAUCUUUAUUGCAACAUAUGUAAGAUAUUAUAUUCACGGUAAUCACCUGUCCAAUCAGAAAUCAAUAUUCAAACUAAUUCAUGCACCAUUUCAUCAUUUAUAUAAGUCAUAAAUCAAUAUUUGUUUAUUACAUGUACUUAUCAAUUACAAAUCAUGAUGCACAUAAUUCAACAAUCAAUUAAACACAUUUACAUGCUUAAUUUAGUUAUACGAACUUACUUGUCGAAAUCUCGUCAGAUACAACCGUGUAGCAAUUCAUAUAACCCAUGUAAUAGUAAUUUAACAUUCAAUUCAUGUAACAAUAAUUUGCCAUUCAAUUUCACAUGACACAACAAACAUUACAUUUUCCAUAUCAUAAACACCAUCCAUCAACUUCUCCUAAACAUUUUAAAUCAUACAAUUUAUACCAUAUCAAUAGAGAAUUACAAUUCAAGCAUGGUAUUACACUAUUAUUAAUACACAAACUUACCUCGGAUCCAGAAACGACAAUUUACCAUUUUAGUCCAUAACCUUGUAUUUUCUCGAUUUAAGCUCGAAUCUCGAUUUUCUUGAUCUAUAAUAUCACAUUUAGCCUAAUAAUUAGUCACAUUAUUCAUAUGGGUCCAAAAAUCAUAUUUUUACAAAUUUUCAUUUUGACCUCUAAACUUUCACAUAUUUUCACUUUUGCCCCAAUACUCGUAAAAUGAUUUUUAUUCAAUUUCCUUACAUUUUAAGCCUAGCUGAAUCAUUUUCAUAACUAUUCCAGCCCCCAAUUUCCACUAAAUCUCCCUUUUAUGAUCAAUUUUACAACUUUUACAAAACAGUCUUUUCGGACGUUUUCAUCGAAAACUGCUUAGUAAAAGUCGUUUAUUUAACACCCAACACUCAUUUUCUACCAUUAAACAUCAAAAUUCAUGCACGUCACAAAUGGUUAAAUUUUUAAACAUAAACCCUAGCUCAAAAUAAUGGUAGAAAUGAGUAGAUCAUGUUACCGAUAUUUCAAAAAUGUAAAAAUCAUUAAAAACGGGGCUAGAACGAACUUACAAAAAAGCUUGGAAGCUUGAAAAACCCUAGCCAUGGUUUCUCCAUGCAAUUUUCGGCCAAGUGGUUGAAGAUGGACAAAUUUUAGCUUUUAAUUUUGUUUUUAAUUCAUUUUAAUAACUAAAUGAUCAAAAUGCCUAACCAUGUCCAUUUUUGUCCACCAACUUAAACAAUAGUCUAAUUACCAUAUAAGGACCUCCAAUUUAAAAUUUCAUAACAAGUAGACACCUCUAGCAUGUAGAACUCAACUUUUGUACUUUUUACGAUUUAGUCCUUUUGACUAAAUUGAGUGCCCAAACGUUAAAAUUUUUGAACGAAAUCUUCACGAAAUCAUUUCGUGAAAUGUAGACCAUAAAAAUAUAAUAAAAAUGAAAUUUUCCUCAUCGGAUUUGUGGUCCCGAAACCACUGUUCCGACUAGGCCCAAAAUCGGGAUGUUACAAUGGUCUUGUAGGACAAAUCGAGAGCUAAAGAUGCAUAUUCAUGAUGGAACUGUUGCCUAUGUUGCGACACCAAGACAUCGGUGUCACAACAUUGAAGACAGAAGUAAAAACAUGUCAUGGAGCGAAACUGCUUGGUAUGUCGUGACAUAGCCUUACUAUCUUGGAGCGAAGACCCAAUAAACUGUAUAUAAAUUGAAACCUUGAAAUCUUCCCUAUCCUUGGUUCUUUAAUACAUUACAAAAUAAAUGUUAGGCCAUAGGUAUUGUGUAAUACCCCAUACCUGUACCUGAGACCAGGAUAGGAUACGAGGCAUUACCGAAAUUUUCAGAAUAAUUUCAAUUAAUUUAUAUUAUUUAGUAUUCAUUUUCAUGUUUCAUAUAACAUCCUUUUCAUAUAUUCAAUUAAAAAUAUCAUAUAAAAUACGAUACAAUACUUAAAUUUUUAUAUUUACAUGCUCAUUCAGGGUAUCCGAACCUACCUGACUAAAUUGCAGAAAUACCAAGAUUUAGGGGCAUAUUGGUAAUUUACCAUUUUCCCAAAUUUCACCCAAUAUUAAAUUGAUAAUUUCAUUCAAUUUAUUAAUUUAGAUAAUAAAAUAAUUUAUUCCCUUCAAUUUAGUCAUUUUUGACAUUUUUACAAAAUUGCCCCCUAAAAUUUUACUUUUAUUCAAUUUAGUCCAUGAGCUUAAAACAUUCAAAUUAGCCAUGCUAACUGAAUAUUCAUAUAUAUUUUUUCUCCUCCUCCUCUCCAUUCCACAUCCUUAAUGUAUAUAACAUUCUUGUAAGUACGAUUUCACAAUUUACUUAUUAAUGCUCACAUCAAUCUGUUCACACGAGUCAUCGUCACUCAAUUAUUUAUAAUUCGAGCUAAAGAGCUCAAAAUUAAGAUCCGUAAAUUUUCCCUAAAACUAGACUCACAUGUAAUUCCACCAUAAAAUUUUAAGAAUUUUUGGUUUAGCCAAUUAGUACAGUUUAUUCAUUUAAUUUUCCCCUGUUUCACUAUCCAACAGUUCUGACCUCUCUUCACUACAAAUUAAUUAUAUCAUAGUACAAAACUUAGAUAAUGUUUCCACUGAUUUCUAUUGAAAAUAGACUCAUUAAGGAUUCUAAGCAUAUAAAUUUGAGACUCUAAUUAAUUUUCUCCAAUUUUUGGUGAUUUUCCUAAGUCAAAACAGGGGAACCCGAAUUCAUUCUAACCUUGUCUCACAAAAUUCAUUAUAUCUCAUAAUUUACAAAUCCAUUGCUUACACCGUUUCUUCUAUGAAAAACUAGACUCAAUAAGCUUUAAUUUUAUAUUUUAUUCAUCUUAUAAUUCGAUUUCUAAAAUUUAUGGUGAUUUUUCAAAGUUAGUCUACUUCUGCUGUCCAAUAUUGUUUUAGUUCAAGAUGUUUAUUACCAUUUUUCCUCUAAAUUUCAAAGGUCAUAUAAUUCAGUCCUUGCUCAAUUAGCCCAUCUAUUAAGCUAAUUUUUCUCAAUUCACAUUUUAUUCCAUCAUUAUAAACUAUUACACAACAUUUGAAAAUCAUCAUUUUAACACUAAACCUUAAUUCACAACUUUUUCACAAUUAGGUCCUAAAAUCAAUUUCUAUUGAAAGGACUUGAUAAAAUCAUCAAACAACAAAAUCAAAGCUUCAAAUUCAUUUUAUUUCAUCAUAAACAGCCAAAACUUAUCAUUGAUAUCUUUUAAUUUUGUUCAUAAAAUAAAAAACUAAUGAAUUAAACACUUGGACCUAAUUGUAAAAGUCACAAAAACAUAAAAAUCUCAAAGAAAAGGGUAAGAAUUGAACUCACAUAUGUCAAAGUAUGAAAAACCAGCAGCUUUCAGACCUCCCAUGGCGUUUUUGCUGAAGAAAAAUGAUGAUAUCUCUAGAUUUUUCAAAUUUGUCUUGUUUUAUAUGUUUAAUUUGCAAAAUUUCCCAUUUUGCCCUUGUUUCUCCUUGUCUUUUUUGCUGAUUUUCUUGCCCAACCGUCCAGCCCAUACAAUUUGGGUCCAAUUGCCUUUUAAAUCCCUCCUUUUUAAGGACUUAAACUAUUUAAUCACAAUUUAAUAAAUUUCGUAUUGUUUUCAAUUUAGUCCUUUUUAAUUGAUUGACUAACCAAACGUUAAAAUUUUCUAACGAAACUUUAAUACUAACUUAAUAACACUCCAUAAAUAUUUAUAAAAAUAUUUAUGGCUCGGUUUAUAAAUCCGAGGUCUCGAUACCUCGUUUUCAACCAAAUUUACCUGAUUAAUUCUUUUAAAAUCGCAAAAUUCACUAAUUAAAAAUAAUUCUUUUAAGUUCGCGCUUGGGCUAUAAUUAUUAUUUGUUAAAAUUUCUAAACUUACUCGUCGGAUUUAGUGAUCUCGAAUCACUGUUUCCGACACUACUGAAAAAUUGGCUGUUACAUAUUGAGUGUUUAGCAGAUACAUCACGGUGGUUUCAAAAAAGUUUAGAGCGAAAAAGGAAGAAACAAUGUGAUACAAUGAUUAUAGGUCGAGCAAAAAUGUGUGAAAAAAGAAAAAUCUAGAAAAAGUAAAAAGUAAAAAUAAGAAGAAAAAGUACAAAAUAAAAUCAAAAGCAUUGUGAGUGAGAAAAAAAGUAAAAAGUCAAGUGACAAAAUAAAAAGUCACAAAAGUGAGAGAAAAACUCAGUCAUCAAUGCACAAAAACUCAUUCAGCCAACCAUAGUUGUUAGUAUUAUAUUGUCUCUUCCUAUAUGGAGAGAUAAGGAAGGUGAGAGAGGGAGAAAAAAGACGACAAGCUUGAAAGGGGCACCUAAGGGAAGAGAAGGAAUAAUGUCAUGUGCCUAACUAUUUCUAGUGUUUGAACUAUUUUGAGCCAUAUCUUUCUUUGAACUCGUACCGUCCUAAGCCUCAGAAUGUUACAAGCCUAAAAGACCAAUGUGACUUAAGCGUUCUCUGUGCAUAAUCUUCCGGUACUACUAACAAUUGUACUUAAUGAAAAUUUUUGAUUCACAUGAUUGUAUCUGCUACAUAUCUAUUUGAUUUCUGUUAAUGGUGAUAUUGUUAAACAUUUGAUUGUGAGAAUUGCUUCUAAUUUAUUAGUGAUGUAACUUUGUAAACUAAUCUUAAUUUACUUUAAAAAGUUUUCAAUACAUCAAACUAUCAAAAAUAAGUUGCAUGUGCGAUAAAAUUUUUUGUACCUUUACUAUUUGACAACCAUAUUCGUAGUAGUAAUAAAUUCUAAGGGACGUCUUCUUUUUGCAUGCUAUAUGUCUACACUUAGUUUGCUUGAGGACAAGCAAAAAGUUAAGUGUGGGGGAGUUUAAGUGUGAGAUUCUUAUUUACAUCCAUCUUCACUAACUUUACAUUUGUUUAAAUAAAGAAAUCAAGUUAUUUUCGUAUUUUUUUUCCUUUUUCCCAUAUAUGUGUUUUGGUUGCUUGAGGACAAGCAACAAGUUAAGUGUGGGGGGAGUGAUCUACCACGAAUUAUACUAUUAUUUACAUCCCUUUUUACACAUAAUUGUAGCUUGUUUAAUAGUAAAUCAAAUUAUCUCAGUAUCUAUGUUUUCAUACUUGAAGUAAUGACAUAUGCUUUUUAGUAGUUUUUAUUACAUCCUAGAUAUCUAAAUAAGGUUACAUGGUCUUGUAGGACAAAUCGGGAGCUAAAAAUGCAUAAGCAGGCCGAAAAUGUUGGUUAUGUCGUAACACCAAGACACCGAUGUCACAACAUCAGGGACAAAAGCAAAACAAGUCCUGGAGCAAAACUGCUUGUUAUGUCUUGACAUAGCAAGCACCAGAUUCGAUUUUGCAACAUUGCAUGCCUAUGUUGCAACACCACUUCUGCGCAGUCCAAAAGUCCUAGUACGUGACAGUUGUGUUUUUUAGGGAAAUUAGGAGUAUUUUUCCUAGUCAAACUCUAAGUACUUCAAGGAUAGUUUAGACACUUUAAUAUUCCAAGUUUAACCUAUAUAAAGGCCAUUGUAAUAAGUUCAAACACACAAUUUUAAGGAGACAAAAAUUAUUCUUACUUUUUUAUUUUGUUCUUAGUUUCUACUUAGUUUAUUUUAUGUUCUUGUAAUCGAAAGAUCCUAUUCCAAAGUAAGACUUUAGUGAGAGGAGAUUGUUCGGAGUCAUGCUUUCAUCGAUAAAUCCAUGAGCAUAUCUUUUCUUUAUUUUAUUCUCUAUAUUUUUUUCUUUAUCAUUGUUAAUUGAAUGUUUGUGUAAAGAUUAGAAUCAAUUUAUAAUUUAUAUAUAUUUUGCAUGUUUCAAUUUUACUAAUCUUAUUACUUGAUUGAUUGGUAGAGUUCAUUUGGAUUGGUUAGAUCUGGUUGAGUGUUAUUAAACCCUAGGGUUUACGAUCCUAGGAAGUCAUCUAGGUAGGAAUUAACUUGAAAUUGGUAUUUCUUACAAAUCAUUACUUAGCAGAUCAGUGGUUAGGGAAGGAAGAACUUAAACCCUAUGAUAGACAACACUAGGAAGUCAUAUAGUUAUGAAUUAACCCAAAUUUGGUAUUGCCUAUCCAUGAAAACCUUAUCCUACCCCAUUCUAAACUAUAUCAUUGAGAGGUGAGUAGUUCUUGUCGUCUAGUUAGGUUAGUAGAAGUUGAGAAGCCCUGCUAGGUUAAUUAGUAACCAACUAUUUAAAUCCCUACAUUAAUAAUUAAUUAGGUAAAACAAUUGAAUCUAGGCUUAAGAAACUCCCGUAGUCGAAACAAGGGAUAGGAGAAGUUGAUACAUGAACUUAGGAAUAGAUUUAAGUUUAGUUCAAUUUAUUUGGUUAUUAUUAUUAUCAUCUUACUUUCAGAUUAACACUACUAAUCUGAAACUUUAGUAGAUUAGUAGUGAUUUUCGGUAAUUUGCCUAAAAGUAGUUUUUUUUCCAAACUGCAAUCCCUAGGGUAUAAUCCUCGGAAUACUUACCCAGUGUUUCAUUGUAAACAAACUAUAUUACAACCUGACCCAUAUACUUGUAGACACCACCUCAAUUCCAUAUAUUUUGUAACAGUAUUCAUACUUUCGAUGUUGGUAUGUCGAGAGGUGGUCAUUUAGCAAUUUCUAUUCAAAAGUGCAUGUAAGAAAGGAGUCUAGCUAGCUACUCACUAAUUGCUAUAGUACGACAAACCAUUAAUGAAGUUAAUUAAAGCUAAUUACUUAUCUAAGACAAAAAAGGACUAAAUUGUAAAUAACGCAAAACAAAAAAACUACUAAUUAAGAUAAUAGACAAUGGAUGGUUGAUUUCCAUGUUAAUUAACCCUCGAAUUAGGGAUCUAUAUUGCUCACAUUCCUAAGUUGGCUCAAUUUUAUCUUCCGAUCUCAAUUUUACCGACUUAGAUGAAUUAGUUCAGAUUUCACCGAUUAAUCCGGGACUAAUGGACAGGUGUACAACAAGAUUAUUUUAUCUUCCGAUCUCAAUUUUACCGACUUAGACGAAUUAGUUCAGAUUUCACCGAUUAAUCCGGGACUAAUGGACAGGUGUACAACAAGAUUACCUUCCGGUCUCACUUGCCUAAAUAUUCCCUUAUGGGCGUCACUUCCUAAGUUUUUAGAUUUAUUCGAUUUAUUCUCAUUUUGUAAUUUAGUCCCCGAACUCAAAAACUAACCUAGCAACAUUUUCAUCAAACACCUAGUGUUUAGUUACCCAUUACCAUAUUAAAGCUAACAAACAUGAAAGAAACAACUAUGGAACCUGUUAACAUAAACUUGAACAAAAAGAUAAAAGCUUUGAUUUUUAACUUUAUAAAUUUAAAUGAAAAGCAACUAACACAAAGAUAAAGAAACAAGAACACUAAAGAUAAUAGCUUUAACAGAUUAAAAGAAAGAAAACUCAUAUAGCAUUAACUCGAAGAUUAAAAAGUGAUUACAACUAAGUUGAAAGUAUUUAACAUGUAAAUAAAAAUAAGCUAUAGGAAAAACUAACUUAACUAACAACUAUGAAAAUAAGUAAAACCAGAAAGAAACAUAAACUAAAACCCUGAAACUAUAGAGAAGAAAACUACCCUACUCCUAAGUUAGAAGAUGAAAGAAACCCUAAAACUAAAGAGCUUUCUAACCUAAAACUACAACCUUUUUUUUUCUUAGCCAAGAGUGGCUUUUAAUAGUUGAUUCCUGACCCCAAAAAUGUUGCCCAAAUUUACACAUCAAUUUGUGGUAGAUUAAUGGCAAAGGGUCUAUACACCACAAUUUGGUCUAUCUUUGUUUCUCCUAUGUCUAUCAAGCUUUUCACUUCCAUUCAAGUCACUCCCAACCUUACCAUGUGAAGCACUAUUUGUAUCCUUCAACUUUGAUUUGCAUGUGAAUGCCAAGAAGGUCGUUUGUCUUCUAAAUUUGAGGUCUAAAUUUGUUUCUUUGACUGGACCCAAGAAGAUUGACUUUAACAAGCAUCAUUACUUAAAAGUACACCUAUUGUAACACCCCCUAACCCUGUCUCGUUACCGAAAUAGGAUUAUAGAGCAUUACCGAUCAUUACAAUACGUUUGCACAUAAAAAACAAAUAAAUGCAAUACUAUAUAUCUAAUCAUAGCUUUAAUGGACACACAGUACUUAUUAAGUAUAAAUAAAACAAAUCGAGGCUCGAUUGGGAGCUUAGAACAUUUUUCGUGCAAUUUUAAAUUUUCUUCUUUUGAACAGUACCACACGCCCAUGUGGCUAAUAUAACACGCCCGUGUGGCUUGGUACAUGUCAUUAUCAAUAAUUAACAUGUGUUACAAAUGUAUGUACAAUAUUUAUUACACAUGUAUUUUAUUUUUACCAUACACUUGUCUUUCUUUUAUUUAUUUAAUAAUAAUUAAUAUUAUUAAUUUAAAACCUUAAACAUAUAAAAAUCCAAUAAAAAUCUUAGAUUUUAUCUAAGCUUGUCGUCUUAUCUAUAGUAAAUUGGCUUAAUUAUCAUUUUGAUCCUUUUUAUUUUCUUUUAAUCUACAAUUAAACCUUCACACUUCAUUCAAUUUAAUCAUUUUUCCUAAUUAUCCUUAAUUUAAGCUAUUUCACUUCAUUAAACUUUAAUUAACCACUCAAUUAACUUCAUAAAUAUUUUUAAUAAAUAUUUACGAGUCCAUUUUUCAGAAAUGGAGACCUAAAAAUACACUUUUCCGAUAACCGUAAAGUUCGGGUCAUUACAAUUCUCCCCCUUAAUAAAUUUCAUCCUCGAAAUUUGCCUAAAAAGAGGUGGGGGUUCAGUGAUCUCACUGUUUCUUUCGGUUCUCGUAUUGCUUCCUCAAUAUUAUGACUUCACUUUUCAAGCUAAUAUCUCAAUCAGUUCUUCUUUUCCAUACAAUAUAUCAGUUCAAAUUUCAAUAUCAUUUGUCGAGAUAACAUGUAAGAGAUUUGAUCUAUAACUUCCGAGCAUCCAAACAUGAAAAACAUCAUAACUUUUCUGUAAUUUCAAAGGCAAAACCAAGCAAUAUAUCACUGGUCUAACUUUUUCUAUAAUUUCACAUAGCCAAACAGAACAAGAACUCAAUUUCCCAACGUUUUAAGUCUUCAUACGAUUUCUGUUUGUCAAAAACUGCUUUCAGUCUAUCUCAAAUCAAUUUUAUUUUCUUCAGUUUCCCGAAUCAAAAUAACUCUAUCUAUUCCUUUUCUUGCUGCAUCCAGUCAAAUACUAUGAAGUUUUACAUUCACAAUCAUACAGAGCUUCAUACAGUGCUGAAAACUAUUAUCGCGUACCCAAAACUUCUUAUAUUUGUUCUAGAAUCAGAAUGUAAACUAUUUAUCUCAAUCAGAAAUAAUAGAAACUGACAUACCAUGAAUCUGACAAUCUCAGAAACCCAUAUUUCAGAUUAUACUAAGUAAGAAACUUAUUCAUACCAGAAUAAAAUAUGCAAACUUCUCCAUACCUUCGACGAUUAUUCAAAUAUCAUCUUUCUUUUUCGACGAUAAGGAUAAUUUCAUUUCAAACCCAUAGAAAUACUAUCCCAUUUCCAUUUUGAUAUCAUCACUGGCUGUAACAGUCCUGAAGGUAUCAAUAUCUGAUGUUCACUUUGUAAGAGUAUGCCCAAAGAUCAAUCAUGAGAUGGUUGUAAUAACAUACUUGAUUUACCAUGUUUAUUAAUAUAAGGCGUUGCCAUUAUUAUUUCAGUUUCUUUUCUGUGUGUAUAAAUAAACUGUUUUAUAAUAAUGUCCUGAGAAUAAUAUGAUUAUUCUUAAAAGGUCAUUAGUCAAGUAUUAUUGUUGACUAGGACAACAAUAAUGCAUUAAAAAUAACAUGUAGUUGAUUGAUGAUAAAGAGUUGUUAUGGAGUGUCAGAAUCAAUGCAUGAAUAUGUGUGUUAGAGAACAACAUAUUGGACUGACCCGCUAUAAGUAUGGUUCUUAGAUUAUUAUGUAAUUGUCACAACAUUACUCAUAGUGAUUAAUAUGUAUAUGAUCCUCAGACUUGAGAUAAUCAUUAUCCCAACAUCGUGAGAUGUAUAUUCUGAUAUAGUCAAAUGUACACCGUAACUGGUUAUUUUAUAAAGGCUGAUGUUGGAUAUACCACAAUCUAUGUAGAGGGAUAUGGUUGAUCAAUAUAGGAUAAGUCUCUCUUACAUAAUGGGAGUAAUAUCUUAGGCUACUUGAUUGAGUGAGACUAGAAAUGCAUGGCCAUGCUCAAAUAAGUUGAUAUGAGAUGUCAUACUUAUUUGUGUAUCAUAGUCUACUCAAGGUAUCAAGAAACAUGGGAUGGACUAUGCAAAUGUGACUAUUCCAUGACUUGUGUCCAUUCCAGAGAUAAAGGACUUAAGGAUUAAUUUAUGAAAGGUUAAUCACAAUAGGUUAUGUCGAAUCAUGACUUCUUGUAACUUAGGUAGCAAUGAUGCAUUGCUAGAUGCCACUCAUUGUUUGUAACAUUAGAAUCGUUCUAGUAUUACUGCUAACGUUACAAGAACCUAUAGGGUCACACCCUAUGGUUGAAAUGAACGGAAUAAAACAUAGUUGGUAUUGUGUUUGGUUGUCACAUGAAUUAAAUUAAUUAUAGAAUUAAUUUAAUUAGGCAAUCAAAUAUCGAACAUAUUAUAUGUACAAGGAUGUUGUACACAUAAGGAGAACAUAAUUCUAUUAAUAUAUGAAUUUGGUUCGUAUAUAAAUUUAAAUAAAUAUAGUUUACCAAAAUCUUUAUUAUAAGUAAUGUAUAAUUUUCGGUUAAAACAUUAUUAUAUUUAUUUAUUUUAAUUAUGAUUAUUAUGUUCGGAUUAAAAUUUAAUAAAUUAAGAAUUUGUUAUAUACAUACCAAUUAUAAGGGGAGUUAUAUAUUGAAAGGGAGAAAAACCCUAAAAAGUGAAUAUAUAUACAAACCCGAAGCUUUGCUACUAGGUCUAGCAGCCGUCAAGCAAAAUAUCUCUGAAAAUAGUUUUGGGGAUUUCUUCCAUUCAUUAUCAAUUGGGUGGAUUACGUAAAGGCCGGGAUCAUAAAGAUUGCGGUUUGGAUUCAAAAGCAAAAUAGUAUUCUCAUUGCUGAGGCUUUACUGUCUACUCAGAUUGAAAUUUUUGUAAUUUCGAAACCUUUUUCACCCCGAUUCGUUCCUCGCACAUGGAUCCAUGGUUUGGAUAGUCGGAAUAUUUUUUUCACUGUGCCAUGGGGGUACGGGUAUUCCAAUAGUGGUAUCAGAGCCACUUGUGUGAUACGGACUCGGGUUUAAAUACUUGGGUGAUACAAUUGUAUGAGAUGCAUGCUUUAUUUUUAUUACGAUUUUUGACUAUUUAUAUCGUCUAAGCAUAAACUGAUUACCGUUCCUUUCGAUAAUUGAUUAAAUGUUAAUCAUGGUGUUAUGGCCUAUUCAGUUUCAUGUUAUUACUGUUAACUUUAAAAAUCUGUAAUGAUGCGACGGUGGUAUUUAUAGUUUCCAGUAAGAGUUAACUGGCUAGUGGAACAAGGGUUGUUCCGAUAUGAAACCUCAAGGAUUCAAAUCCUGAAAACACGAUUCUGUUGAUAAAAGUUAUCAAAUCGUGAGCUUUCAUUUGACUGGGGUAUGCGGUUCCCAUCAUCUUUCAGUAUGUUUUGUAAUAAAUAAAACCUGAUGGGCCAUAAAAGGUUGAAAGGAUAUUUUAUAAUUCAUUUAGCAAAACGUUGAAUGAUGUAUGCUAUUUUUGAAAUGCACGGUGUUUGAAAUGCAUAGUUAUAGCCCGAUGACCCAUUUGAUAAAAUGUUGUAAUUUUAUAAAUACAACCUGCGUGUUGUGCCUUACUACUAUUCUCUUCUAUUUCUCUUCUCACCUUACUCCCUCGUAUGUAAAACGAGUUUCUGAAUAUUGUAAUUUGCAAAAGCUGCUAUGGACUAGACGAGAAGGAAGAUGAGCCAACUAAUGUGGACUGACAGCUUGUGAAACGGCUUACACCUUUAGGUUUCCUUUUGGUUCUCCCAUUGGCUUGGGUUGAACCACCAUAGUUUAUGGGCUAUAAUGCAUUUAUUUAUUGCUUUAUCUAUUCAUGUAUGAGAUGCUAUAGAUGUCCAAAGCAUACAAAUUUGGUAAUAAUAAACCCUAUUAAUUGAUGAGAUCAAUUAAAAUAUUAAAUGGACUGAAGUAGACCAUAAUUGGUGAGAUACAACAACUUUAAUAAAAUCCCUCUAUUUAAAUAUUAAGUCAACAUGGCCUUCCAAAUUUUUCCCUCAUUAAGGCCUCGAUCAAUACUAUGUAGGUUCUGCCAAAGUGAAGUAGUAGUAUUUAUCUUGGUUAAACGCGAAGAAUAAACAAGUGAUAUUCGCUAUUUAAAAAUUGGUUAAUGACUUAACUAGGUUACUCUAAUAGGAUUAGAAACCUAGAAGCAAGUAAUUUGGAUAAAUCAUAAGAUGAUUAGAACAAGAGUUGUUCAUCAAAUUGUAGGAGUUACAUAUGAUGUAAUUAGCAAGUGUUGCUUACCUAAAUAACCAUAAUCUUGAGAGUAAAGCCAAAGCUGACUUAAGAGGAGGUGAAAUAUGGAUCCUUAACCCACUAGAAAUACUUUCAAGAAAGUCUUUCUGAAAUUAAUAUAUGAGGGUUAUUAAUUUUGAAAUAAAAUAGUAGGAACAUCAUAUAAUAAAGUCCUUUUAAUGAUUGAUAUAAACUUGGUAAAUUUAUUCACACGCAUAUUUUAUUGUUGUAGAUAUAUUAUGGCUGCAAACACUAAUACACUCUCAUUGCGAUCGAUUCUUAAGAAGGACAAAUUGAAUGGUUUGAACUUUCUUGACUAGUACCGUAACUUGAGGAUUGUCCUCAAACAAGAACGGAAAUUAUAUGUCAUUGAACAACCACUUCCUAAUGAACCACCCGCUAAUGCCUCGAGGGCUGAUAGAGAUGCUUACAAGAAACAUCUCGAUGACAUGGUAGAUGUUGGAUGUAUUAUGCUUGCUACUAUGAAUCCUGAGCUUCGGAAGCAACAUGAGGACAUAGUUGCUUAUGAUAUGAUCGAGCACCUGAAAGAACUUUAUCAGGGGCAAGCACGGCAAGAGAGGUUCGAUAUCUCUAAGGCCCUUUUCCAAUGUAAGCUGGAUGAAGGAAGCCCAGUAAGACCUCAUGUCCUUAAGAUGAUUGGUUAUAUUGAAAGCCUAUCUAAGCUUGGGUUUCCAUUGAGCCAAAAGUUGGCAACUGAUGUUAUUCUGCAAUCGUUGCUGGAUAGCUACAGCUAGUUUGUCCUCAAUUUCAAUAUGAAUAAAAUUGACAAGACUCUGCCACAGCUGCUCAGUAAGUUGUGAACUGCUGAAGGCAACAUGAAAAAGGUUGGACCCAAGCCCAUACUGAUGGUCCGUAACAACAAGGGCAAGGGAAAGGCCAAAGUUCAGGCAAAGCCCAAGGGCAAAGGUAGGCCCAAUCCUGGAAAAGGAAAGGUUGCACUGAAACCUAAAGGUGGGGUGUCUAAGGAAGGAAACUAUUUUCAUUGUGGUGUGACUGGACAUUGGAAGCGGAACUGCCCUCUCUAUCUUGAGGAAAUCAAGAAGGCCAAGGCAAGCGGAACGUCUGCUUUAGGUAUUUAUGUUAUUGAUAUUAAUUUAUCAAUUACUACUUUUUGGGUAUUAGAUACUGGUUGUGGUUCUCAUAUUUGUACUUCUGUACAAGGACUACAAAGGAAUAGGACUUUGGCUAGAGGAGAUAUGGACCUGGGAGUUGGAAAUGGAGCAAGAGUUGCUGCAAUAGCUGUGGGAACAUAUACUUUAUCUUUUCCUAGUGGACUUGAUUUAUGUUUAGAGGAUUGUUAUUUUGUGCCCAUUUUAACUAAAAACAUUAUUUCAAUUUCUCGUUUAGACAAAAUUGGUUUUGAGAUAAUUAUUAAUAAUAAUUGUUGUUCAUUUUAUCUCAAUAAUGUUUUCUAUUGUUCGGCACAAUUGAUUAAUGACCUCUAUAUUUUAGAUCAAAUAAAUCUCAUUUACAACAUAAAUACUAAAAGAUCUAAAAUAAAUGACUCAAAUCAAACUUAUCUUUGGCAUUGUCGUUUGGGCCACAUAAGUAAGAAACGCAUAUUCAAACUCCAUAAAGAUGGUCUCUAGGAUGCAUUUGUUUUUGAACAAUUUGAAGUAUGUGAAUCUUGCUUAUUGGGAAAAAUGACUAAAUCUCCUUUUACUGGUAAAAGUGAACGAGCUAGUGAUUUAUUAGGCUUAAUACAUUCUGAUGUAUGUGGACCAAUAAAUACACUGGCCAGAGGUGGAUUUCAUUACUUUAUUACUUUCACUGAUGAUUUUAGUAGAUAUGGGCAUGUUUAUCUCAUGCGCCAUAAGUCUGAGGCCCUUGAAAAGUUCAAGGAAUUCAAAAAUGAAGUACAAAAUCAACUAGGCAAAACUAUCAAGGCACUUCGAUCUGAUCGAGGUGGAGAGUAUUUGAGCUUAGAGUUUGAUGAUCUUUUGAAGGAAUGUGGGAUUGUCUCACAACUUAAUCCUCCUGGUACUCCUCAAUGGAAUGGAGUUUCUGAAAGAAGAAAUCGAACUCUGUUAGACAUGGUUCGAUCCAUGAUAAGUCAUGCUGAUCUACCGACUUCCUUUUGGGGACAUGUACUUGAAAAAGCUACUUUCACACUAAAUCGUAUUCCAUCUAAAUCAAUUCAAAAGACGCCAAAUGAGAUGUGGACUGGGAAACGUCCCAAUAUGUCUUUUAUGAAAAUUUGGGGUUGCUAAGCUUAUCUUAAAUGUUAGACGUCUACUAAGCUUGAACCCAAAUCUGAAAGGUGUAUUUUUGUGGGGUAUCCGAAAGAAACCAAAGGAUAUUAUUUCUUUAAUCCCACUGAGAACAAGAUGUUUGUUGCUCGGACUGGUGUCUUCUUAGAGAGAGAAUUUGUUUCUAGAAAAGGAAGUAGGAGAAAGAUUAAACUUGAAAAAAUUCGAGAAUCACAAGAUACCACUGAACUAGAGAUAGAACAACAGUAAAUUCCACAAGAAAUUGAGGAACAAGUAACUGCUGUAGAAACACAAUCACCGCCGCAGAUCUUUAAGAGAACGCCAUACACCUGAGAGAUAUGGAUUUCUCAUUACAACACAUGGUGACGUUCUUCUUAUCGAUCAAUAUGAGCCUAGAACUUAUCAAGAAGCGGUGACGAGCCCAGACUCUGAGAAAUGGCUUGAAGCCAUGAGAUCUGAGAUGGAAUCCAUGUAUGAAAACCAAGUAUGGAGUACGAUUGACCCACUCGAAGGGGUUAAACCCAUAAGGUGCAAAUGGGUUUUCAAAAAAAAACCGACAUGGAUGGUAAUGUACAAACAUACAAGGGGCGAUUAGUCGCUAAAGGUUUUCGCCAAAUUCAUGGUGUUGACUAUGAUGAAACCUUUUCUCCUGUAGCUAUGUUUAAAUCCAUCAGGAUCUUGCUCGCCAUAGCUGCAUUUCAUCAUUAUAAAAUCUAGCAGAUGGACGUCAAAACAGCUUUCCUUAACGGGAAACUUGAAGAGGAUGUGUACAUGACACAGCCUGAAGGUUUUAUCAAUCCAAAGGAUGCUAAAAAGAUAUGUAAGCUACAAAGAUCCAUUUAUGGAUUAAAGUAAGCUUCUCGAAUUUGGAAUCUUCGUUUUAACGAUGCAAUCAAAGAGUUUGGUUUUAUCAAAAAUGAAAAUGAGCCAUGUAUUUACAAGAAAGUUAGUGGGAGCACUAUCACAUUCUUGGUACUAUAUGUGGAUGACAUACUUAUCAUGGGAAAUGACAUACCUACCUUGCAGUCUAUUAAGACUUGGUUAGGAAGUUGUUUUUCUAUGAAGGACUUGGGCAAAACCACUUACAUAUUAGGAUUCAAGAUCUAUAGAGAUAGAUCAAGACGAUUACUAGGUCUAAGCCAAAGUACAUACAUAGAUAAAGUAUAGAAAAGGUUCAACAUUGAAGAAUCUAAGAGAGGAUUCCUACCUAUGAGGCAUGGUAUUUCACUCUCGAAGGAAAUGUGUCCUUCAACUCUACAAGAGAGAGAACGCAUGAGUAAAAUUCCAUAUGCUUCUGCUAUUGGAUCUAUCAUGUAUGCCAUGUUAUGUGCCCGUCCAGAUGUCUCAUAUACCUUAAGUAUGACGAGCAGGUACCAAGUAGAUCCCGGUGAAGGUCACUGGACCACAGUCAAGAAUAUUCUUAAGUACUUGAGAAGAACAAAGGAUACAUUCCUAAUAUAUGGAGGUGAGGAAGAGUUAAGUGUAAAAGGUUACACCGAUGCCAGCUUCCAAAUCGACAAGGAUAAUUCUCGAUCUCAAUCAGGUUUUGUGUUUUGCCUUAAUGGUGGUGCAGUGAGCUGGAAGAGUUCAUAGUAAAGUAUAGAAGCCGAUUCUACAACAGAGGCCGAGUAUAUUGCAGCCAGUGAGGCAACAAAAGAAGCAGUUUAGAUCAAGAAUUUCAUCACUGGACUAGUGAUUGUGCCUAGCAUAUCAGAUGCUAUAGAACUCCGAUGUGAUAACAAUGGAGCCAUUGCACAAGCUAAAGAACCCAGAUCUCACUAGCGAUCCAAACAUAUACUUAUGCGCUACCAUAUUAUUUGAGAGAUUAUCGAUCGAGGGGAUAUAGAGAUAUGUAGAGUAACUACAAAUGACAACAUUAUUGAUCCCUUUACCAAGCCUCUAACACAGCAGAAGCAUGAUCGUCACACUAAGUCACUUGGUAUUAGAUAUAUGAGUGAUUGGUCUUAGUGCUAGUGGGAGAUUGUAAGAGUAUGGCCAAAGAUCAAUCAUGAGAUGGUUGUAAUAACAUACUUGAUUUACCAUGUUUAUUAAUAUAAGGUGUUGCCAUUAUUAUUUCAGUUUCUUUUAUGUAUGUAUAAAUAAACUGUUUUAUAAUAAUGUCCUGAGAAUAAUAUGAUUAUUCUUAAAAGGUCCUUAGUCAAGUAUUAUUGUUGACUAGGACAACAAUAAUGCAUUAAGACUAACAUGUAGUUGAUUGAUGAUAAAGAGUUGUCAUUGAUAUGGAGUGUUAGAAUCAAUGCAUGAAUAUGUGUGUUAAAGAACAACAUAUUAGACUAACCCGCUAUGAGUAUGUUUCUUGGAUUAUUAUGUAAUUGUCACAACAUUACUCAUAGUGAUUAAUAUGUAUAUGAUCCUCAGACUUGAGAUAAUCAUUAUCCCAACAUCGUGAGCUGUAUAUUUUGAUAUAGUCAAACGUACACUAUAACUGGUUGUUUUAUAAAGGCUGAUUUUGGAUAUACCACAAUCUAUGUAGAGGAAUUUGGUUGAUCAAUAUAGGAUAAGUCCCUCUUACAUAAUGGGAGUAAUAUCUUAGGCCACUUGAUUGAGUGAGACUAGAAAUGCAUGGCCAUGCUCAAAUAAGUUCAUAUGAAAUGUCAUACUUAUUUGUGUAUCAUAGUCUACUCAAGGUAUCAAGAAACAUGGGAUGGAUUAUGCAAGUGUGACUAUUCCAUGACUUGUGUCCAUUCCAGAGAUAAAGGACUUAAGGAUUAAUGCAUGAAAGGUUAAUCACAAAAGGUUAUGUCGAAUCAUGACUUCUUGUAACUUAGGUAGCAAUGAUGCAUUGCUAGAUGCCACUCAUUAUUUGUAACAUUAGAAUCGUUCUAGUAUUACUGCUAACGUUACAAGAACCUAUAGGGUCACACCCUAUGGUUGAAAUGAACGGAAUAAAACAUAGUUGGUAUUGUGUUUGGUUGUCACAUGAAUUAAAUUAAUUAUAGAAUUAAUUUAAUUAGGCAAUCAAAUAUCGAACAUAUUAUAUGUACAAGGAUGUUGUACACAUAAGGAGAACAUAAUUCUAUUAAUAUAUGAAUUUGGUUCAUAUAUAAAUUUAAAUAAAUAUAGUUUACCAAAAUCUUUAUUAUAAUUAUGUAAUAAUAAUUUUCGGUUAAAAUAUUAUUAUAUUUAUUUAUUUUAAUUAUGAUUAUUAUGUUCAGAUUAAAAUUUAACAAAUUAAGAAUUUGUUAUAUACAUACCAAUUAUAAAAGGAGUUAUAUAUUGAAAGGGAUAAAAACCCUAAAAAGUGAAUAUAUAUACAAACCCGAAGCUUUGUUACUAGGUCUAGCAGCCGUCAAGCAAAAUAUCUCUGGAAAUAGUUUUGGGGAUUUCUUUCGUUCAUUGUCAACUGGGUGGAUUAUGUAGAGGUCGAGAUCAUAAAGAUUGUGGCUUGGAUUCAAAAGCAAAAUAGUAUUCUCAUUUCCGAGGCUUCACUGUCUACUCAGAUUGAAAUUUUGGUAAUUUUGAAACCUUUUUCACCCCGAUUCGUUCCUCGCACAUGGAUCCAUGGUUUGGAUCGCUGGAAUAUAUAUAUAUAUUCCACUAUGCCAUGGGGGUACUGGCGUUCCAACAUAGUUUUCAUCUAAUUUACGAGAUUAUUCAUCUCCAGUAUACGUUUCAUAAUCAAUACCAUCGAUAUGUUCAUCUAACAUUUUCAACUAUAAAACAGAACCAAGCAAUUAUAUCAGCAUCCGAUCCCGACUCAAGUUUAACAUAGAAAUGGCAUGUACUUUUAGAAUCUUUUCUAAACUCUAUUUAGUCCUAGAAUCGACUAAACCUAAGUAGCUCUGAUACCACUAAAUGUAACUUCCCCUAACCCCGUCCCGUUCCCAGAACAAUAUUAUAGAGCAUUACCGAUCAUUACAAUACGUUUGCAUAUAAAAAUAAAUAAAUGCAAUACUAUAUAUCUAAUCAUAGCUUUAAUGGACCCACAGUACUUAUUAAGUAUAAAUAAAACAAAUCGAGGCUCGAUUGGGAGCUUAGAACAUUUUUCGUGCAAUUUUAAAUUUUCUUCUUUUGAACAGUACCACACACCUGUGUGGCUAAUAUAACACGCCUGUGUGGCUUAGGACACGUCCGUGCCCUUAGCCCGUGUGCAACAUUGAAUUUAAAACACGGCCUUGACACACGCCCGUGUGUCAGGCUGUGUGGACUCAAUAAUGAGCCUUUCACACUUUACUAGCCAACCCUGCAAAAUUUCAAUCUACAACCAAUACAAAUAUUUUAUAUAUAUAUACUAUCCAAUUUUAGCAAUAAAACAUACAUCCAAUUUGCCCUCAGUGGUACCACAAUUUAUAUCAAUUAAACAUUAUCAUACAAACCUAAUUAAUUUUCUUAGGUUUAGUUACCAAAAUUUACAUGUUUCAUACAUAAUUCAACAUCGUUAUAUCUUUCAUUACCAUUUACAAACAUUAACUUAAUGAUCUAGGUACAUGCCAUUAUCAACAAUUAACAUGUGUUACUAAUGUAUGUACAAUAUUUAUUACACAUGUAUUUUAUUUUUACCAUACACUUGUCUUUCUUUUAUUUAUUUAAUAAUAGUUAAUAUAAUUAAUUUAAAACCUUAAACAUAUUAGAAUCCAAUAAAAAUCUUAGAUUUUAUCUAAGUUUGUCGCCUCAUCUAUAGUAUAUUGGCUUAAUUUCCAUUUUGAUCCUUUUUAUUUUCUUUUAAUCUACAAUUAAAUUUUCACACUUCAUUCAAUUUAAUCCUAUUUCCUAAUUAUCCUUAAUUUAAGCUAAUUCACUUCAUUAAACUUUAAUUGACCACUCACUUAACCUCAUAAAUAUUUUUAAUAAAUAUUUACGAGUCCAUUUUUCAGAAAUAGAGACCCGAAAAUAUACUUCUCCGAUAACCAUAAAGUUCGGGUCAUUACACCUAUGAUAAUUUUUCCUUUAGACCCAAAAUUUUAGUUAAUAAAAGUUGAACCAAGUAUUUUGUAAUUGGUGAUGUCAUAUCCUGUUAAUGUAGCAUGCUUCCACCCACCUAUAGAAAGAACUAUAAUCUAUUGUAAGAUGGCCAUUCAUGCAACAACUCGCAUGUCUGAUGAACAGGCUAAAUGCUAGAAUUGUGCACUUCCAGUUGGUGGAUUAUCAAGCAAAAAGACUUUGGCAAAAAAUGUGGCGAACAGUCCAAGUGUAAGGCAUAAUGGCGGACAAUCUAACCACCAACUGCCUUGAAGCUUUUGUUACAAGCUAACAAGUUUUCAACUUGUUCUAUAAAGUUGCAAGAUUAUUUUAUUUAUCUUUAUUUUGAUAGGUUAAUGUAAACAGUGUUGAUUAAACAAAAAUCAACUAAUGAGUAGGUACCAUGUAUUUAGACUUACCAACUUGUCAAGUUGUAGUUAAUACUUUUCUAUUUAAAGCUAUAUAUUUGAUUGCUAAUCUUUGCUUUGUUUUCUUUUUCCUUUGUAUCAAAAACCAACAAUUGGUACCUAGAGCCAGUCAUUUUUUAGGGCAUUUGAUUUAUCAAAAACCUAUGUUUCUUUGUUGUUUUGUAAAAAUGUCUUCAACUAGUUUUAUACCUCAUGCACCACUAGUUUUUAAUGGUGAAAACUACCAUAUUUUGGUAGUCAAGAUGAAGACCUACUUAAAAUUUUUUAACUUAUGGGAGGUUGUGAGUGCAGAUGUAGAGCCACCAUCAUUAAGAGCCAAUUCGACUUUAACAUAGAUUAGGCAGCAUAAUGAUGAUCAUGCUAAGAAAUUCAAGGUAAUUUCGUGUCUUCAUAAUGGUGUUUCUGAUGUGAUUUUCACGAAAAUUAUGGCCUAUGAGACUCCAAAACAAGCUUGGGAUAAGUUGAAGGAAGAGUUUUAAGGUACAGACAAAACAAGACAGCAACAAAUUAUCAACUUGAGGAUAGAUUUUGAGAACCUAAAGAUGAAGGAGUCUGAAACUAUUAAACAGUAUUCUAACAAAAUCAUGGAUGGUAUAAACAACAUAAGAUUUCUUGGAGAUUAGUUUCCUGAUAGCAGAGAAGUUGAGAAGGUGAUCAUUACACUUCCUAAGAGGCAUGAGUGAAAAAUAUCCUCUCUUGAAGAUUCGAGAGACCUAUCAACAAUCUCUCUAUCAUAACUAAUAAAUUCAUUGUAUGCUCAAGAACAAAGGAGAGUUGCAAGGUAGAAGAAGCAUGUUGAGGGAGCUUUUCAAGCAAGAAAUUAGGAAGGCUUGAGCUCCUCUAACAAUAAAGGAAAGAAAAUCAGGUAAAAAAGACAGAGAGGUCGAGGAGAGAAGGUGUAAAGAAGAAAUAUCCAUAAUGCUCUCGCUAUAAAACGAUUACUCAUUGUGAGAAGUUUUGUUGGUUCAGACCAGACAUACAAUGCAAAACUUGCAAGCAGUUUGGACACGUAGAGAAGGUUUGCAAUAAUAAAGUGUGAAAACCCAACAGCCACAACCACAUUAGAAUAUCCAGGCUUAAGCAACUAAGAGAAAUCAUGCUUAGGAGGAGCAAGUGUUCGUAACCUCUUGUUUUGCACCUAAAAACAAAAUCACAAAAGGUUGGCUAAUCGACAAUGGAUGUACCAACAUAUGACCUCAAAUGAAGCAUCUUCAAAAAGAUUAAUAAAAGUUGCAUUUCAAAAGUGAGGGUUAGAAAUGGCGAACUCAUACAAGCCAAAAGCAAAGUAGGUGUACUGAUCAAUAAGUUAUCAGGUACAAAAGUAAUUUCAGAUGUUCCUUUAGUACCUGAAAUAGAUCAUAAUCUUCGAUAAAGAUAUGAGGCUUUUUUUGGGGACUUCUAAUGUUAGAAAUGUUAGUAAAAAGGUAUAUGAAUAGAUUUUGAUGUGUUUUUAUGUUCUAUAUCAAUGGUUCCUGUUGAUUGCUUUGCGAUGGGUGAGAAUCAGAUGAGUCUCUAAACUGACUUUUGUGUGUAUUAUUCAUACUAGAAAAGCUGUAAGAAAUUGGUUGGAAGGUGAUGUGUGGUCUUGUAAGUUACAGUAUGUUGUGUAUGUGACUUAGGAGUGACUAUUAAAGGAUAUAUAUGACUGUGUCAAUGUUUAUUAAGAAUAGAAUGCAUAUCUGGUAUGAAUAUGAUAGUUCUAGUAAGGCGAUAUGAGGUAUGGUUGCAUCUGAAUGUCAUGAAUAUAUAUGUGUGUGUCUUUGAUGUAUGCUAUGAGGAAUGUUUUUUUAAGAGUAAGUUGUUAUUCAAAUGGUGAAUUUGGAUCAUGUCAGUGCAUGUAGAGUAUGUGUCUGUCUUCGCGGUAUUGUCUAAAGGAGUCUGUUAGGACUUUAAGUACAAAUUCUGAAAAGAAAAUUCCAUGCCUUCCAAAAGGAACUAAAUGAUGGUAAUUACCCAAUGGGGUUAUCUGCGUAUCCCAGGAUGAUGAUAGGAAAACCUCACGCAAUGUGAGUUUAAGAAAAUCCAUAUGUAAACACGUCAGGAAAUGAAGCCUUUGUAGAUAACUUUAAAAAGAAAGCCUUUGUGGCUAACUCUGAAAAGGAAGCCUUCAUGUCAAACUCUGAAGGAAUAGCCUCUAUGGUAAGCCUUUGUGGUGUAAUGUAAAAGGAACACCUAUGUGGCGAAUUAUGAAAAUAAUAGCCUUUGUGGUGGAUUAUGAAAGAGCACCAUUCAUAGCGAAAUUCGAAUGGGCUACCCUUGUGGCAUGUCUUAAUAAAGCUCUUAGUGGGAAAUGUUUAAAAGAUGACCCUUGUGGUAAUUUUUGAAUUAAGCUAAUUGUCGUAUUCAAUUUGGCUUUCAAAUGUAUUCAGAACACAAGCAGCAAGGUAUAAGUUAUCUAUUAAUUAUACGGUGAAGUAUCACAUAAGACUAUCAAUCGAUUAAAAGUAUUGAAUUGAAGAGAUAUAGAGAAAUGAGGAAUUAGUAUGGGAAGUGUAUUCAGAAUAAGGAUUUGAAAUUGUACGUUUGAAGAAGGUAUCUGUCAUCUAUGCACAUGGUCAUACUUGAAUCAUGGUGAAGUGAUGGCUUAGAACUAAGUAUGUUACAGUAAUAGUGUGUUGGUUAAGUUGAUCUUGGAAAGGAAAUGAAAAAAUACUUAUAAAUGCUCGAACGAAAGGCGUGCGUGAUGUAUCGAAUACCCCAAUGGAAAAAGAGUUAAUUUUUGAGUAAGGCAUGAUAUAUAUAGUGUAUGAAGAAUGGAAUUUGACGGAAGCAAUCGCCAAAGACAGGUUUUGAGAGUAAAUCCUAUCUACAAUUGAGAUUCUUAAAGGAUAGAAUCAAUCUUUUAAGAUUACAAAAUCAAGUCUUAUCAUGUUACAUAUCUUCUAAGAUUGGUUUCCUUAUUUGCCAAUAUAGCCCAAAUUUUCCAUAAAUGCUUCACUGGACCACCAAGGCUUCAAGGAGACAGGCUUCUCCACAUGCUCCACAAAUUGAGCCAAUUCAAAUGCGUCGAAUGAGCCCCAUUUCAUCAUUUGACCUCCAUGGAACAAUCUUUGCACAUUCAUCACGGGCUCUGAUCCGCGGCCUAUGACAUAAGCACAUAAAUGUUUAGUAAGUUCAAUUGGCAAGUAUUAUACUUACCUUGCUAGGUGGACCUACAAAUUCAUUGCUCAACAAGCUUCAUAUUCUCAUGUUAGUUACUUAGGAUAAGAUAAGGCAAAUGUAUAGGUAACCAUGUUCAUUAAUACCAUACAAGCAAAUUAUAACAUGUCCAAUAAGUGUUCAUUAUAUUCUAUUGAUCACAUGUGCACCUAUUUCCAAUUUAUUACAACCUUUCAAUUACAAUUCACAAGUUAAAAUAAUCAAGUUCAUACCUUUUUCAACCUUAAUUAUUUUAUUUAACCAUUUCUUGUCUGAUAUCAAUUUUGUAGCCCAUGUAAUCUUAGUAAAAUAGGACCCAAGUACUAUGAGAAAACCAAAAACUGUAUGAGCAUCGAAGUGCUAAGCUCGAAGACUAUCACAUAUCAUAUCAUGUAGGCCUCCGAAGAGGUAUUGAAAGUCUAAUGGUCUACAACAAAUGUUUUACCAAGGGUAAGAUAGAACUAGGUCUUCAGAAAACAAACCACAUACCUCUGAACCUCACACCACAACAAAAGUACUUAGGUGUAAGGCAUGAAGGCAACGUAUAACAAAUAGGCUCAAAGGCGACAUACACAUAUAACCCUAAUUGACAUGCCAAUCAUAUCCUAACCUUUCUACCAAGUUUACAUGAGCUAUCAUUAACAUAUUAAAGAAUUCACAUCAAGUACCAUUAAAGCAAUUUUUCACAUGUAUUGUCAUAUUUCCAUAAUGCCACACUUUAAUCACAAGAGUUAAAAUCUUCAACUGAGGUUUUCAUACCACAUGAAUUUACAUGUUUGUUCAUUCACAUUAACAUGGUUACUAAUCUCAUAAUCAUACUAAAUCUUAACUUGACAUAGUCAAUUACCAUAUUUAACACCUUGUUUCAUAUUUAAUUCUUUGCACAACAUGGUUUAGUCUAUAAACAUAUUAACUAGUAUAAUCCAUUAAGGUUCUGUUAAUAUACUUGUUAAUUAAUCAUCCAUUCUUGAUCUUAGCAUGUUAUAUUCAUUAUGCAUCAAAUUAAAUGUUGUUGAGCUAUUUAACACUUAUAAACAUUGUACUAAAAACACAUAAUAAGCAAAUAUUAUAAGUUCAAGUGAACUUACCUAUUAAGAUAUGGCUAAAAUGAAUGAAAGAUCAUUUAAUGAUCAUCAAUUUAAAUUUUCAUUUCCUUAACUUAAGCUUCAUUUGGUUAGCCUUAUUCUACUCAAAAUACAUACAACACAUACAAGCAUUGAAUUAAUAAUUUGAAUCUCCUUUGGUUAGUCUUACAAGCAUUGGAUUAAUUGAAUUCAACACUUGAUAGCCAUAUAGUGGCCACUUUACUUGUUGAAAAUUCAAGAAUGCUUAACCUUUGACGCAUAGACUUUUAUAUCCAAAAUUGAUAUAACUCCCAAUUUUCCUAUUCAAUUUUUUUGUUCCAACUUUAAAAUUAUAAUUUUAAGACCUCAAAUGAUCCAAAAACAUGUUUAAACUCCAAAGUUCUCAUCAUUAUCUCUAAGGCUUCUUAAGUACUCAACAAUGUUGGUAUGAACAUCCUUCAUACCAAUUUCUAAUCUACCUUCUUUUCUAACUUACUUACACUCUUCUAAGUUCAUCCCAACAAAAGCAUUGAACUAUCAUGAUCAAGCUUUAUCUCUUUAAGUUCCAAGCAUUCAUCUAUGAUUAUCUAAGGAUUUUUCUCAUCAAUUUUAACAUCGAAAUGAAUGGGCUCAUGCUUAUCUAUUAUUUUAUGCUAUCAAUUAAACCAAAAUUCAAAGGAAACUUAUCAAUUUCUUGAAGAGCAGCUAACGGCACCAUGAAAGCUCCAUGAAAAUUUCCUUUUUCUUCUUUGUUCUUAAACGAUGGAGAAUGGAUGAGGAUGACCAUGUAAUAAGCUUAUUCUCUCACCCACUAAGCAUAUAUAUACCUAAUUAAUCAAUUUAUUAACCUUUAAUAAUAAUCAUCCAAAGUUGGGAUUUAAGCAUGACAAAUUGAGCGGAAAUCUAUGGCUUUUGCCAUGCUUCUCCACUAAGUAAAUAAAUGAUGGUUUAUUUGUCAUUUUAAGGCAUUUGAUUAAUUUUUCAUCCAAUCCUCCAAACCUUGCAAGUUCACAUUUAGAUCUUAUGCAUCAAUUAUUAAUUUAUCAAUUUAAUCCAUUAAUAAUUCUCGACAAUAUUUCAUAUCUACCUCAUUAACUUCUCGAUUAAUAAUAAAUUUUCGAAACGGCUUGAUUGAGAAAUCGAAUUAUUCCUAGCACAGCGAAAAAUGGAUCAUCAAACUAUUUUAAUUUGAUUUAUUAAUGUCUUUUCCAAAUUCGUAUUUAAUUAAUAAAUAUUCCCCAAUAACCAACACUCGACAACAGUCAUUUUGGUAGUUCAUUUGAGUUACUUUGCCAUUUCCCUUUUGCUCGGCUUGUCCUUUUUUUUUUAUUUUUCUGAUUACCUUGUUCCCUUUGACCACCUUCAUUAAUUGAUAAUUUUUCCUUGUAUUAUAGGAGAUUUAUAAAUAUUCAUAUUGUAGCAAAAGUAAACUCAAAUUUAGAGUGCACAAGGAAAUAGUCAAAUAUCUCAACUUCAAAAGCCUUUAAUUAAGCCACAAUGUGUUCGCGCACUCUAUUAACACUAGUGAAUUUCAUUAAUAAUAAUUUGAGUACUAGCUAAAAUUUUAUCCCAAGAUUUAAAUUGUCUUUCAAUAAAUCCUCGACAUUUUUGUGGUUGUGGUCUCCAAAUACUUUUGUGAUCAUCCAUAAAGAACAACUUCAGCACGUAAUUCAACUUUAUGAAUAGUCAUCACUAAUUAAAUCAUGCAUAUUAAAUUUGAUAUCAGAAAAGUUUACAAGUAGCUUCAUAAAUACAUAAUUGUGAUAUAUUUGAAUGGUUUUCCACCUCAGCAUAAACUUAUUUUAGAGUAAAUUUGUAUGCGUUUUAGUCUUGUUACAGUAUCCAAGCCUAAUGGCAAUACCUUAAUAGUAAUUAUUCUCUCUAUCUAGUACUCGAAACUGGUUUUAAAUAUCUUCCAUUCAUUCAACAAAUAGUUAUGGUCUAAAGAAAUUUCUGGAAUUCAUGGCUGCCUACUUGCGAGAGGACUAAUGAAAUAUGCGAUGCAAGUUGAUGAAAUCUUAUAAUUUGUAAUAUAAAAAACAAAAACCAUACCUCCUUAAUAACAUAAAUAACACGUUCCAUAAUCAACAUCUGAGAACUUAAAACUUAAUUGUAAUGUUGGCUGAACCAGACUCAAAAAGGGGAGAAAAGAAAAAUAAGUCCGAACCUGAAAAAACUGACCGUAUAGAAAACCCUGACAGGCAGAACAGUAGCAAGCAACAUAAAACCAAGACAUAUUCACUUAAAGCACUUGGCAUCCAAGAGAGGCUCUCCCUCAAAUGGCUCGCAGUCUUCAAUCAUCUGAUUCACCCGUUCCUUCUGGGAUGCAUCUGAGAGGUCAACCUUCUUCCACUCGUAGAGUUCCAUGUCAUAGCACUCGUCAAUCACAAAUUGAGGAAUCUCUUGCCCACGGAAAAGCCAUAGUCCUUUCACCUUGAAUGGGGGGUUAGCACCGAUCACCAACAUCUUCCCAAAUGCAUACUUGCGGG